GAAAAAAAAUGUGAGGAAAAUGACAUGCAAUAACUUGGUCUGAGAGACACGAGUGCACCCAAAAAAAAAAAAAAUAUAUAUAUAUAUAUAUAUGAGAUUCAAUUAAAUAAAUAUGUGAGGAAUAUGAGAUUCAAUUACUUGGUUUGAGAAGUGCGCACAAAAAACAAAACAAAAAAAAUCGUUCCUCAUUUCCAUGCAUCUUUUUCCUUAGUCAAGAAUCAUAAGUUAAAUUUCCUAUAUUGAAAAGCGUAGGAUAUAUGGUUUGAACUCAAAAUUCUUCUCAAAUUCUUUUUUUCACGCCCUUUGUGCCAUCAAAUAAAAGACAACAAGAUCUGAAAGUUUUUUUAUGAUUCUGGUCUUCCAAAUUCAGCUUCCUCAUUAUAUUUUCUUAUAUCUCUUGUGUGUUUGCUGGACUUUCUAGACCAGCUUAUCACCUUAAAAGUGCAAUCAAGUACAAAGAAUGUACAAAAGUGGAACAUUGUGGUUCAGAAGGACCAUCAUAAAAUGUACCAAAUCUUAAGAGAUUAAAAAUAUCGUGAAUAAACGGAAUGUUAACUUCAAAGAAACUAAAUCAUAAUAUAUAAAACGCCUCAGGAAGAAAAAAAAGAAGGAAAGAACAUAGAGUAAGAAACAAGAACCAUAGGAAUAGAUAGAUUUUGUGGAACUUAAAAGCAAGACAAACACAAAGUUUCUAUUAAAUCAUCCUCAUAAAUAUGUAGACUAAUAGUUUUGAAGAAACUUUGCCAUCAGUUUCCACAUCAAAGUCACAGGGCAUUGUUAAAGAAUAUUCCUCUAGAUUUAUAUUACAUAUCAGCCCAUUUUAUACAGAAUCAUCUGGCAUCGAAAUUGAAAAAGAGUUACUGAAUAUUAGAUGCAUGCACCAUAGAUGGGUACAAAAGGGGAAAAAGGUGAAUGCGAGCAGACAGAGGGUAAAGUUAAGCAAUUUGAAAAUAGACUGUAGAGCGGCACUGCAGGGAGGGGGCAGGAUCACAUGCAGAAAACUGUUUUAGCUCAUUUUCUCUAUGACGAGCAUAGGAUAAAGAAUAAAAAAAACCUAUGUACCUUUACUGCUGGCCAGUUGAAAGGAUUUAGCAAGAGGCAUAAUCUGGUCCAUAUAGUAUGCCAACGAUGCUCCAACAACAUAAUUUUUCAAAAUAGGUACCAGCCAAUUGUUUACACAUGUGAAGUCACCAGCAUUAAGUGAUACAGGUACAAGUUCUAGUAGUCUCUCAGGCCCCAUAGCAAUUACAGCAGUUCCAAUACAUUUCUGAAGCUGCAUGAAUAUGAAGAUUUUUAUAAGAUCCAUGGACUAGAUGUACACAUCAUUUAUGCACUGUGAAUGGGCUAAUAUCUUAUGGAAGAAGUUAUUCAAGGAGGCAAGGGUGGUAUGGACAACUCCAUUACAGAGGAGUGACUUGCUAAAAGAAAAUCCUUUGGGGUUGUGGGGUGCUAGCUGUAGUUUGGUGGUGUGGAUGGAAAGAAAUAAAAGAGUAUUUGAAACCUAUGGCUGGGAGAAGAUAGACUUGUGGGACACAGUAUGGGCCUCUACUUCUAAGAAUUUUAAGGAUUAUACUCUUUUUCCCAUUGUUCUUAACUGGCAAGCAGCUGUAGUAUAGGCCCCUAAUCUUAGAUUUAGCACCAAUAAAUGAGCUGCUAAGCCUCUAGCCCUAGCUGCCCUCUUUAGCUAUUUAAAGCGGAUUCCUUGUCUACCUCCUUGUACUUGCUUUUUUUAAUAUAUAAAACGCUGUUUCUUUUCAAAAUAAAAUAAAAGAACGAGAGAAUACACAGCAGGGGAUGCAUGUUAAUGUUGCUCAACUACUUUUCAUUUUAUUUGGUAUCUAAUCUAACAGCUAAAAACGGAGUUCUCAAUAAACCUUUUGAGAGAAUUUACCUCGAUGAUUAAUCUCAGCUGUUCUGCAAAUCAUAUGAUCAUAUCUAAUUUAACAUCCAAGCUAUCUUAGAUAAGUACCUAUUAGAGUUCUGUGAAUAUAUCAACCCACUGGCAACUACUUGAAAGUCCAAGAUAAGAGCAUGGCAAACCAAACCAAUCAAAGUUUUAUUUCAGUAAGACAACAGUUUAGCUACUGAGGUAGAGAACAGCAAUGUCAUGAAUGGAUACUCAGAUUUAAUCAAGGGAGAUAUCAAUGAAGAGCAUAUAAUGUUUUAAGUGUUCAGUUUGCUGUUACAUUUAUAUCAAGGGAUCCUAUGUAAUUGACAACUUCAAUACUAAUAAAGAGUGCGGAGAACCCCAACUCCUCUUUUAAGUACAAGCAACUCUACUCUUCUCUUCAUCUCUACUUCUCUUCCUAUUCAUUCUGAAAGAGGUACAAAUUUUCAUACCUCAACUGUCUCUACCAAUUCAAUGAUAAAGCAGACUAUCCAAUAUCCAUACAAUGAUCCUUCCAUCCACAUAGUAACACAAGAAAAAUGAACGAUUCUUUCAGAAAAAGUUGAGAUCUAGGACCAACAAGCAACCAAAUAUUUUGGAUUUGAUAAAGAUGUUUAGUGUUCAUGAAGUAUAAUCAAUUGUCAUUUUUUACCAUCUCCCUAAUCAAUAGCAGAUAGAAUAACUUACAUGGUCAGUGUUAGAUUUGUCCCCACUAGCAGUGGUCAUCAACUCAGCAAGUUUCAGUAUAAUACCUCUUAUAUAAAUACUGGACAUUUUUCCUAUAACCAAAAACACAAGUACCAGUUAGAAAUUGACUUAUCAAAUAAGGAACAAUGUAAGAUACAAACACUUGAAAACACUUCUGACCACUUGCAGAAGAAAAAAUAUAUAUCAAUGAUCAUGUUAUGUAGCUGACUAAUAUAGCAAAAAAAUUAGAAAAGUAACAAGUAUGUCCGCAUAUAAUGAUCAUAGAAUCACUGAUUGAUACAUACCGAGCUUGAGGAACAAAGCAGAUAUAACAUCCAAAAGAUGCUCGUUGGGCAGUCCUUUACAUGAGUUAAGACCCUCCUCAAAAAUAGCACAUAUUGAUCUCAAUGCAUUUGAUUUUAUAAUAUCAUCUCCUUCAUCUUUGAAAGGUUGGUUUUCAUUGACCAACAUACUUAGAUCCACAUGUUGGCUAAUCAACUCUUUCAAAAUAUCUGAAGAAUGGGAUGCAGUCCUAGCCUCAGAAAUCAAAAGACCUGGAUCAGUAAAGUCGACAUGGAUCAGAGAACAACUUUUAACAGUAACCGCAUUUCCAUAAAACAAUAACAUGAAACUUAACAAUAAUAAUUAUUGAACUAUGCAUGAAGAAUAUACAGCUCUGGUAAGGAUAUAUAAAAGAUAUGACGUAUGAAUUAUUGGGUACCCCAACCAACAUGCAAAUAAAAGAUCUUCGACUUCCAGGCACAAUUGCAAUACACAGGGAAAAAUUCGAGUUUAUAUAUUGAAAUUCAAUUAACAAAAAUCUAAAAUCAACCAAGCAAACAAUAAAGAAUGCUUAAGAUCUAACAAACUACGGGAUAACAAAAAUAUUCUUCUUAUAUGAGAAAAACAAAGAUACAGAAAGACAACAAAAUUGCAAUAGGUUCAUAUUAGAAUUCCAAACAUGCCAGCACAUGACUGUGGCAUCUUCAUAAGGAGAAGGGCCUGGCUAUGUAUUUGAACUGCAACGUUUUCCCACUAACUAAAAUGAAAAUAAGAUUUGGCAAUCCUAAGGUAUUAACAUUCAUAACAUAGCAUCCAAGUGACCUACAUGUCCAAUUAUACUAAAUACAGCGUACCUGCCACAGAGCCACAAACUAGCGGAAGAUUCGUGAUCCAUGAUGUAGAUUCACCAGUAUGAAGUAUGCCCAUAGAAUAUUUUAACAAGGUUGUUGCAGACAUGACAGUGUCCGAAGGGUUCUUAUUUGCCAAGGACACGUAUGAAAUGAGAGAAGCUAUAGUCCCCUCCGUCUUUGGGACAACGUCAUCAGCUUUUGAUAUCUUGAAAAUCGCUUCAAUAAUUUGGAAAACAUGCCUUGUGAGUUCGGAGAACCGCGGACCCAGAAGUUUAUUCAUCUCUGAAAGAAGUUUUGAGCUGACAAUUGGUGAGAGAAAGGGAACAGUAAGCUUCACUACAUUUAGCAUGUGCAGGACAUCCAGAUUUUUAGAUCCAUCUGAAGUCCGAGAAGCACUUAACUUAACCGCCAAAGGCAUAUAACCUUUCAGCAUAGAAAGUAUCAACUUGCUCGCCUCCUUGACAACACUGCGGGACUGGAGCGACUUAAAUACAUUCUCGAGACAGUCUUGCGAACAUUUGCGAACCUGCAACAAGAAAAACAAUAAAUCAAUCAUCUUCAACAAGCAGCAAAUUACACAAGCCACAAACAUCCCUCCAUCACAAUUUCCAAGCGGAUCAGCUGUAUACUGUACUAACCCUACUAGAAGAUGACUUACGAACAACCUUACCAUUGCACUAGAUUGAUCUUACGCAUUGCCACCUAGGUGCCUAACACUCAAGUCUAUACAUUUCAAACCCAAUCCGAAAGUUGUAUGCAGUAAAAACCGACUUUAAACUAACAAUUCCGCCGAAACCAAAUUAGAGCAAUGCACAAAUUCAGAUAGCAACCUUAGGUCUCUUAUCAACGGAGAACUUGAGCAAAGUGUGAAGCCCCAAUUUGAGAGAAUCCCAAUCCUCCAAAUCACAGAAGCCAACCAAAGCCCCCAAGCACUUGACCACAGCCUUGACGCCGGUCAUGGUCAGCCUCUCCGCCUCUCGCUCCAGAAGCUCCACCAGCAUAGCCAGCGCCUGACCGGCCUUGGGCGACGAGAUGCUACGUGGCGGCACGAGCGGGAGCACCAGGGAGAGAAACGAGAGGAGCGCGGCUACGGCGGUAGGGUCGGGGGACGACAUGUCGUCGAUGGCGGAGAUGGUGGCGGCGAAGUAGGAAGGGGGAGUGAGGGGGAGGGACUCGGCGGCGAGGAUGGAGCGCAUUGCGGCGGCGGUGGCGAGGAGGUGGUGGUGCUGCGGGGCAGAGGACUUGGAGUAGCGGUCCAUGAGCUGUUGGGAGAUGUCUGCGCCAUCUUUCAACUCCUCUACUGCGUCCUCCAUGGUUGAUGCUCAAGGGUUUUCAAACAUGCUCAAGGGUUUUAGGCAUUUGUAGUUUAUGGUUUUCGGCUACCCGACCCACCCGUUUAGCUCAAUUAGGUUUUUUUUUUCUUUUUUAAUUGAAAAAGUAAGAGAAAUUUUAUUCACACAAGAUAUUAAUACACAUCUUCAUUUUUUGAAACUUUUUUUAAUACAAUUUUACCCAUUGAUGAAGAUGAUCAAAAAAAAACCAAACAAAUAAAAUAAAGUAAUUUUCUUCGCAUCUUCAUUUGUUAGAUACACACCAAUUUUUUGUAAAAAUUUUGAAAUCUUUACAUACCGAAAAGAUGGGUAGGACUUGCCUAAUCAUAAUUGUGUAUACAUAUUGAGAUAUCAAGAGUAUUGGGAGAGGGAGAUGGGUUGCAACAGUUCCAAACCUCAUUCUUUCUUGAAUGAUUCUUCAAUAUUAUGUUUAUCAAAUUGAACAAACUGGACAAUAUGAUCUUCUUGACUUGAAUUAAUCAAACCUCAAUGAUCUCAUUCCUCUAGUAUACAAUAAUUAUUUAAUGGAUGUGUAUAUAAUGAAAACACAGAUGAAUUGUUUCAUAGAUAGUACACACCAAUAAAGUUGAACUUAUGAGUUACGUAAGAUUACACAAGGAUGCUUUGAAGCAAGAGAUCAGAAAAAUAUGGAGAAAUUUUGAUAAAUAACCACAUUUUGGUUUAUGAAUUGAUUUUUAGGACGAGCUUCCAAUGAGGACCUUAUAAUGAGGACCAAGUGAGGACUUUCAAAUGAACGGUUGGAUCAAGGUUUUGACUUUUAAUUGAUAUUUUCUAAUUCCCAUGUGCAUAUCAUCAAACCAUUCAUUUGAAAGUCCUCACUUGGUCCUCAUUAUAAGGUCCUCAUUGGAAGCUCUUCCUUGAUUUUUAACCAUGUUUUCACAAAUCAUUGAAAAAUAACCAUAUCAAUAAACUAGAAGUCUAAACUGCCCUUACAUAAAUUUCUUCAAAUCAUUUAUUUUUUUAUCUUUAUCAAUUUUCACAAUUGCGCAAGCUGCUCUACACCGCACCAAAAGUCUAAUCCCCACACUCCCACAUAUUGUUGUUUUUAUUAUCUGUCUCAUCAUUCGAUGCCCUAAUUUCUGCUCUGCUUUUCUAGACUGUUGUGUAUGAUCUUGGAAGUAUAAAAUUUGGUAAACAUGAUCCAAACAAUCAGAGAAAUAUACUAUAAUUUGAGCCAAUGCCCUUGAGAGACAACCCAGUAAUUACGUUGUAGAAAACUAAUGCCAACUAAACUUGUUAAUAGGGCUGGCAUUUUGAGCCGAGAUAAACCAGCCAGCUGACUUCUGAGCCGAGCCAACACAGUCGGUAACCAAGAGUCUCGGCUCGGUUGAGCCGUACCAAAUAUGUAUCUCGGCUCGGCUACGGUACGUGAUUUUUGUAUACCGUCGGUAUACCGUACCAACCGAUGUACACGUAUACGCCUUUAAAUACAAAAUAUUUGCCACUAUAGUUGGGACUUGAACCCAGUACCUCAUGCAUGAAGAGGCUUGCCUCCAACCACCAGAGCAACUGCUCUUCUUGAUAAUAUAUAUGCAAAAGCUAAACUUAUUCUAUUACAGAAGUCAAAAGUGUUUAACACAUCAAAUAGAUUCUCAACCCUAUUACUCGAUCAACUUUUUUCUUCUCUCCUCGCUGUUCUUCAUCUUCAGUUCUUCACCUAGCCUUUCUUUCUUCUUCUCCCACCAUCACCAUCACCCGCCAUCACCAUCGUCCAUCAAAGCCUACUUUUCCAAAUUCUCUUCCAUCGAUCAAAGCCCACUCUUUCUCCUCUCUAAUUCCUUCAUGUAAUUGGAAUUUUGAUUGAUAUGCUUGGUUCAAUAGUUUAUGCAACGAUGGCUUUGUCGAUCCAUUGUUUGAUUUGUUUAUGCCUUUCUGUGUUUUGAUAAUAAUUUUGUCCAUUUGGCUUAGGUUUGUUCUUUUGAUGCUAAUUCAAUUGUCUUCUAAGGGUCGUUGAAGAUUUGUUUGAUCAGCUUCAAACUCGAAAUUAGGGGCAGGAUGUUAAGAAGCAACAGAGAGGUUUCGAAGUUUAAAAACGACGUUUGUAAUUUUAUUUCUAUCUUCUUUUUUAUAUGAAAUCACUUGUGAUUAUCCUUUGCUAUAGAAUCGAGAUUUGAAGCUCGAGCUUUGUGAAUGAUGAAGUCGACAUUGAGAUUUCAGAAACACAACAAAAUAUUUGGUUUUUGCAGUGAUUUUGAAUCAUUGUUUUUGCAGGUUCGGUUAGAGGCCCAGCCGUACCGCUACCGACCGAAAGUUCGAUAUACCGAACUGUCGGGAUACUGACUUCGUCGGUUGGUUGUGGCAUCAGAAUUUUCCUACCGCCGGAAGUUGGUACGGUAGGCGGUUUGGGAGUUUUUUAUCGGUAACCAUACCGAGCCCAGCCCUACUUGUUAAGACUUAAGAAUGUCAUAUGGAACUAAAAUAUUGGGCGCCUUGACUUGCUUCUCAACAGCUCCCAAGAAUCUCAAAGCUCCCAUGUGGCUAAGCUCUUCAUCUUGUUCUAGACCUUCACUUGCUUCCUUCUUCGUAUAGCAACUUGUAUAGCAGAUAGUAAAAUAUUGAUAAUUUUUCUCUAACAGACAUUUGAGUUCAGUUCAUUGAGUGAGAUAUCCAUCUUUUUCUCAAACAGACUUCUGAUCACUAUAGGCUAAUUUGAGGGCAUCUUCGAUCAGCUCAUUAUUGCUACUGUAUGAUCUGAACUUGGACCUCUUCUCAAAUAUGUUCAAAUGGUUUCAAUUUUAUUUUGGGUGCAAACCAUUCAAAUGCCUCAAGUGUAUCAAGUUAGCGAUACCAAUUACCAAGUAAAGUUUAUUUAGCAGAAUUGCCUUGUGAAUCUCUGAGGUCUAAGUUUACUGUAAGGCAGCUAGAGUGAAGAAGGUCUUGGAUAGCUAAAUCCAUGGCUAUUCUCUGUUCUUUGUCAACUUCGGAGAGUGAGAGAUCGAUGACGGAAUCUUAGUGAAGAAAACUGAGUUUAUUUUAUUUUAUUUUCUGUAGUUUAUGAAGUAGGAAUAAAAGAAGGGCAGUUUUGAAUUUUCCUCCCUUGUUAUGGUUAUUUUUCAUUAGUUUAUAAAAACAUGGUUAUAAAUCAAUUUGAAUAGCUAAAAGUGGUCAUUCCUCAAAAUUUCUCAAAAAUAUGUAGAGUGUCUGGAUCAUAAAAGUAAAUCACAUUACGAUUUUCAAAAUAAUACAUAUAGAUCUGUAGAUUAAAAAGGAUAAAAAGAUACUGAAAAGGCUAAAAGAGGCAAUAUGAGGGAAAAAAUUCAAAAAGAUGUGUAUAUGUAUUAAUACAGUUGAGGAAAAAAGUCAGCACCGGUACCCACAUUUUGGUGUCAAGGUCAAGUCGAUACCCUGUCUCACAAAACUACCACUGUGAUGGCUAAACUCGAUAUUUGGUAGUUUUGUAAAUCUCAGUAAUUCCAUCGAUCCAAUAGAGUGAAAUUGAAUUCAGCAUCGACAUCUUUUAUUUCAUCCAAACACAGUCGCUAUCCUCGUUAAAACCCUCAACACCCCCCACCCAAUGCCAUCCCUCCCCAAAAGAACGAAAACAGCCUCUGAAUGAAGAUCAUGUUUCGAGAGCAUUUGAUGAAGAAUUACCAAUAUUAGCUAGCUUGUUGGUAAAAAAGUUUGCCUCCCUUACUGAAAAUGUAAAUAAACGAGGUGUUUUCAAAGGAUUGAGAGCUAGCCAGAGAGUAUCUCUGAUGACUACAACAAAGCGGGGAUAACAUCGCGCAUCGCACUCCUUGGUGUGGCCGCGUCUCAAAAACCUCUUCUCUUUGAACGCAGGGAGUCAGGGACAAUGCUAUCCGCUUCCUCAAGGCAUUUCCGAUCCCACAGAGUAGCAGGGUUACUCAUUCCCGCUUUCUCUCCCGACCCAUUUCCCAUUCGGAUCCAUAAAUCUCCACCACUCCCAAACCCGAACACCUUCCCAUCCUUCACCACCGCAACAACAUCCACCCACAACACUCACCCCUCUUCCCAAUCACAACAACAAACACUACUCACUCAAAUUCUCUCCUCCAGCGAAAACGCCCCCACAUUACUUCAAUCCUUACACAACCAACACAUAUCCCUAAACCCAAACUCUUUCAACCUUGUUCUAAUCUCCGCCGCCCAAACAAACCAUCUUCACCUCCUAACCCACAUCUUCAAACUCGCUGUUGCUUCCAAAACACAACCCUUAAACUCAAACUGCUAUCUCACUGUCGCCAAAGCCUUUGCAAAAGCAGAUGACUCUGUUCUGGAGCUUCUCAGAUUCACCGACCAAGUAUUGGAACUGACUCGACCGAGCAUGACAGUUAUAAACAGACUCCUCUUUGCAUUUGGUCAACUCAAAGAGACUGAUACUGCAGCUUUGAUCUUUGCCCAUGUCAAAGAUAGAAGCUUUUCGCCGGAUUUGUACACAUACAACACUGUUUUGGAGAUAUUGGGCCGGGCGGGUCGGACAGGUGAGAUGCUGAGGCUGUUUGGGGAGAUGAAGGAAGCUGGGAUUGACCCGGAUUUGGUUUCUUACAAUACAGUGAUAAACCAUGUGAGGAAGUUUGGGGAGGUUGAAAUGUGCUUGUUUUAUUUCAAGGAAAUGUGUGAAAUGGGUGUGCAGCCUGAUUUGCUGAGUUAUACUGCGGUCAUUGAUGGGUUGGGGAGGUCAGGGAAUAUUGAGGAGUCGUUGAGGUUGUUUGAUCAGAUGAAGAAGAGGCGGAUUCGGCCUUCGUUAUAUCUGUGUAGGGCAGUGAUCAGUAAUUUGAAGAAGAUGGGGAAGGUGGAGAUGGCAGUGAGUUUGAUGGAGGAGAUGAAUUCAUGUGCUUCAGGUGUUUCUAAUCCGAGAUGGAAGAAACGUCGGUAGAAACGGUUAGUGUGUUUUGAUAAUGGAGUAUUUUUCAGGUCUCUUGCUGUUUGUAUAGUAUUUUGCAGUGUUCGAAAUCUGAUAUUUACUUUCUGUGUUCAUCUUUGAUAUGAUGCAAUAUAAUGUUCAUUUUUCGGACAUUGUCGUUUUGAUCAUUUUGGUAUGUAUGCAAUAAGACUUGACAUAUACAAAACAAGCUUGAACCAAGUCUGAAGUUGUACGAAAAGAAUGAUGAUUCAAACCUUGAUUACAAGUUUGAAACUGUUAAUAAGAAAACCAAACCUUGAUUACAUUGAAAGACAAUGAUGGAACAUAGUUCUGGUUGAUGUCCCAUGAUUCAAAUGCGACUCGAGUCCCUCCCAAAAAUAUCAUUCUGCUCCGAAAUAAUUCCAAGAUUGUAAUGGAAAAUAAAUGGUCAAACCUACCAGAAGCAAGGCAUGUACCGAAAUCACAUUUGUAGAGAAUGCUAAGCUUUAAAUUCAAAUUUAUAAGUCAACUGCAAAUGGCUCCAUAAUGCAUAUCAACUAGCGAAAAGUUUGAUUCUCCGUCCUGUUGUCAACAGGCAAACAUGCUUCAAUCCUUUGGAAAUUAAAUGUCUCAAAGAGCAUCCAUCAUAAAGCAAAAAACAGAGAACACAUACAUGAACCGUCAAAUGUAAUUUGAUCAUCUUAGCAGCUUCCAGGAACCGUAUAGAACUAUCUAGUCAGCCAGCAUAUCAGCCUAGUGGAGUAUCAUUCUCUACAUACAACCAUCUUUGUACACUUGAACAUCAAAUUUAUCUUUAAAUCUUCAUCCGUAAGCCUACCAAUAGUCCCGACAAGAACACGUCCCAUUCUUAAAAUGGUGAAAGCGAGUAGUGUCUCUCAGAAUGAUUUCUCUGCCCACAAGCUUGGAUAUAAAUUUAAUGGCAGUGUGACAAUCAUUACAAACUCUGAGGUUCUUCAUGAUCCUCAGUGUACUGUUAUCUGGAGUAUUUAUUAACCCAAAUGCAAUUGCAAGUUUCUCACUGUGAUGCAUAAGCAUCUUCUCCUUCAAUUCUUCUGCAACAUCAUGCAAGACCGACUCAGUAUCAGGGACAAAACCAAUAUUUUUAAUCUCUUCCCAGAUUUUCUCCAUCGUCUUAUAGAUUCCAUUUCUCUGUGGAUGAACCCAAUCGUCAACCCCAAACACAUGCACUUUGUUCUGAUACUCAAUCCAACUAAAUCCUUGGCCUUUCUUCACUUUCCUAUUCUUCAUUAACUUUCUUACUUCUGCAGCAUCUGCCCAUCUUCCACAAGCUGAAUACAAAUUAGCAAGGGCUGAAUACGCCCCACUGUUGUCUGGUUCAAUAAGGAGCAAUUUUUCUGCUGCAACUUUGGCCAAAUACACAUUUUUGUGAAGCUUACAAGCAGAUAAAAGUGAACCCCAUGCUAUAAUGUCCGGUUCAAUUGGCAUAUUUUGUAUCACGUCGUAUGCUUCUUGAAGUAACCCAGCACGCCCAAGCAGAUCAACCAUGCAUGCAUAAUGGCUAUGGGUGGGUUCAAUCUUGUGUACGCUCCUCAUCAAAUUAUAGUAGCUCCUGCCCUGUUCGACCAAUCCCACAUGUGUACAAGCAGAGAGUACCCCAACAUAAGUUAUAUGGUCAGGCCUAAUACCAAGUGACAACAUCUUCUCAAAUAGUUCAAUGGAUUCUUCCCCAAGACCAUGUUGAGCCAGGGCCAAUAUCAUUGAACUCCAAGAAACAGUAUCUCUGUUCCAGUCAAUCAGAUUGAACACUUGCUUUGCACCACUGAUGCUUCCAGCUUUGGAAUACAUCGUAAUUAGAGCAUUGCCCACAGAAACUGAAGACACUUGUCCUGUUCGUAUGGCAGUUGCAUGAAUUUGUUUUCCAUAAUCCAAAGAAGCCAAGCUUGAACUGACGCUCAACAUCGCUGCUAAUGUGUAGUUGUUUGGCCUGGGGCCUUCUGCUAUCAUUGACCUAAAGAGCUCCAAUGCAUCAUUAUUUAACCCAUUCUGCAUAUAACCAACAAUCAUAGCGGUCCAUGCUACCACAUCACAGUCUCUCAAUGAGUCAAAUAUCUGUCUGGCUGGGUUAACAUCCCCAACCUUAAUGUAUCCAUCCAAUAAGGCAGUAAAAGCUAUAAGAUUGAGAUCUGAAGUCCCGCACUGCUCUAAAACUUUCUCGGCAAUUUCCAACCCACCAGACUUGGCAUACAUUGAAAUCAAAGCAUUAACUACAACUUCCGACGUGUCCAAUCCAGCUCUUACAAUAAGAGCAUGGAUUUGUUUUCCAAGUUCCAACUUCUCAAGGCUAGCACAAGCCGACAAAAUGCUUGCCAAGGUGAACUUAUCAGGCUUUAGAAAAGAGUCCUUGCGCAUACUUGAGAAUAUACUCACUGCUUCUGUAUGGAGCCCAUGCUGAUUAUAUCCAGCAAUCAUUGAAUUCCAAGAUACAAUGUCGUGCUCUGUCAUUUGAUUAAACUGCGCAAGAGCAAGGUCGGCACGACCACAUUGCAUAUGUAUUGAGAUCAUAUGAUUCCAACUCGACACGUUUUUCAAUCUCAUCCUCUCAAACACAAUCUUCGCAGUCCCCGGAUCACCGCAUUUGGCAUACAUGUUCACAAGGCAGUUCCCAACCGAAACAUAACUACCAACAGCAAGCUUGACAACAAACGAAUGCACCUUCCUACCAAUAUCCAAACCCUUCACCGACGCGCACGCCGAAAGAAUGUUAGUAAAAGUGAACUGGGUCACCGGAACUCCAUCCAAAACCAUCUCUAAAAACAUGUUGAUGGCAUCGCCAUAUCGACCCAUCUGAUUGAAACCCACAAUCAUGGCAGUCCACGAAACCGAAUCACGCUCAGGCAUUGCAUUGAAAACUCUACAAGCCGCAUCAAGCCUUCCCUGCUUUGUAUAAUUCGAGAGAAUGGUGUUCCAGGAGAACCUGUUUCUUAGAGGCAUUUCAUCGAACACGUGGUGUGCAUCGACAUAAGACCCAGUUUUGAUAUAGUAGUUGAUGAGGUUGUUCAUCAAGAAGACACCGAGGUGAAGCCCUGACUUGAUGAUCUGGGCGUGGAUGGUUUUUCCGGCAAAUGGGUGUCUCUUGUUUAGGCAUGCUUGGAGGAGAAGGGCAUAUGAAUCCGACGAAGGUGAGUUUCGCGCCUCCAUAUGCUGUGAAUAAGAAAUAUUCAAGGUGAGUCACAUGAUGGCAAAUACAUAAUGGCACAUAUUUUCAAAGUGACCUGCUUAUUUAUUUAUUUAAUUUUUUUUUUUAUGGAGAAAGUGACCUUCUAAAUAGAGCUUCGGAGGGCACCCAACGUUUUCAUUGUCGAAAGAGAGUGCAAUAGAGGAUUCUGGGAGAACACAACUCUCCCAUAAACAGUUUGAAGCAACUCGAUGAACUAGGGUGACAAGUGCAUUGGCCACAAAAAGUGAUGUUUCUUAUCAUUGGCCAAAAAGUAAACUUUUAUUUUUGGAAGUUACGAAGAGAAUAUGAGAGUUCUUUUAUGAUAUUAAGAUUGAAAAUUGCAACACAAAACCUGGAGAACAACCGCCCCUACACUACGGAAAAUGAAAGAGUAGAAAGAAAGAAAAUAGGUAUAUACUUUGAUUUUUUGGAGUUGUCUCACUCGGACCAAAACAGAACAUAAACUUCUGUUUAGGUGGUGAUCUUUUACUUGGCCUCUUUGGGUGCAAUUCCAUUGCUAAUGUCUUUCAAAUGCUAGAUAAGCUUCUAGUAACAUUGUAAUUAUGGAAAAGCUUCUGAUAAGUUGGUAAAAAUGUAUUUCUGCAAUGCCAUGCCAAGUAAGUUGAAUGCUGGUCUCAAUCGAAAAAAGAGUUGAAUGCUGGUACUGCUUUUACAACUGUGCAUCCCAUAUCUGGUCUUUCUAGCGUAAUAUACUUGUAGCUAGCCUCUAGAAUUCAAUGAUAUAGAAUAAGCAUGAAUAUAUGCUAAGAUGAAGCAAUUGGUUUACUUUUCAUAGCUUUAUGCCUCCAUAUAUGAGUUCAGAUCAAGACUUAUUCAAGUACAACAUUUUUGAGCACCGAUGUCAAGCAAAUCAUGUAUAUGCAACUAUGCAAGUAAUAAGCAUUUGCUUUUAUAGCCUUUUGCCUCUUGUGAUAAUUAGAAUUAGAACUGAAUUAAAGUUUGAGGUUAGCUGAAAAAUCUUCUAUACUUGAUCCUUGAACUGCUAAGGCUAUACAAUUGUUUCUCUUAAAAGAAGUUCUUGUUUUUGAAACUCGAUCCAGUUAUGAAUUAUACGCAGGUGGUGUCCAACGCCAACAAGCUUGCAAAAUUGGUAAAGAAGAAGAAGAAGAAAAAAAGAUGGAUAACUGGCUUGUCUACUACAAGGACAAAUGAAGCAAAACUUCAGUGAGGCUCUUGAUUAAGGUAAAUAAUUUUCUCUACUAAGUGCUAAAGUGUUUCCAAGUAUUAAAGAUGAAUUUAAUUUUUCUUUAACCUGGAUGUGCAUAUGUGACUAUCAGGCUGGAUUUCUUGGCUUUGGGGAAAGAAACUUGAUGCAAUUGAACAUUAUCAUUCUGAGAUUGAGAAAAUGAAGAAGGAAGUACCGGUCUGUUCAUUUCUUUGUCAAAUAUAUACCGUCCCGCAAAGUUUUAGUUUUGAUACGAUUCAAAACAGCAAAAAAAAAAUUACCAAAAUUUAUAGUUGAAUUUCACAAAAAAAAAAAAAAAACAGUAACAACACAUCUAAGCCUAAAAGUUCUUGAUAUUGUUCAUCAAUCAUGAUGCAAAGCAUAGCAUAGGAUCUCAUACAACACCAGUAAGAAAGAAAUAUUUUCACCUCCAGCAAAAAUAAAGGCCUCAAAGCCUAACUAGUUAAAAAUAUCAUACUCUACAUAGGUAUCAACAUAGGUAAGCAUACUCUUCAUAGGUACGCAUCAACUGACCAAGAAAGAAGUAAUAUAUCUACAGACAGAACAACCAUCAACUUUAAGAACUAGGAGAAUGUGAUCGAAAAAAAACUAGCAGAAGCAUUCAGUUGCUGAACUAAUGAAAACCCAAGAAAAGCAAAUCACAGAGUUGUCCUGGCUACAUCAAUUGAAAUUUAUUGAUGGCACAUCACAUAGCACAGUGACUUGGAAACUAUGGUGAUCCCAUCACCUGAAUAUCACAGUCCACCCCAAUCCGUAAAUUGGUAUACCAAUCUGGUGAUGGAGGUGGAGACAAAGGAGGUGAGGAGACUGAGUACUUCGCGGUAGGCAGCAAGAUAUAUUGAUCCUCAGGUAUCUCUUUCAAGUACAUUAUUAGACUAUCCUGCUGAAAAAUCAAAUAUAAAAGAACAAACCGUACUGUUCAAAAUGAUCCGAACUAACAGGAUAGAUGUGCUGCAAAAGAAAGCCUUUGGAGGUUUACCUCAAAUUUGGUUAGCUCAGAAGGUUUUGGUGGAGAUGCAAGCUUCUUGCAUGGAGUUGGUCCAUUUAGCAUCCAGUAUAUAUCCAUUGCAUCCAACUGGGUAGCCUCUCUCAUUGUUUUCAUGCACUGCUCAUGGUCAUGCAGGAAACCUUCCUUCUCAUACUCACAAGAAGAUUCCUCUGACACAACAUUAGAAGUCUUCUGAAGCAAGGUUUCAGAUGAGCCUUUCUUCUUGCUUGCAUCAGCAAUGAUUUUGGGAAAAUUGUUGAGAGCAGGCUUUUUUGUUGCCUUGGUAAAAUCUGGCUUCCCCCUAUUGGAUAGGUCCGCUAGUGGUUUCCUACCACCUACUCCGCCUUUCUUUGUUGAUUUCAAUGCUGGUUUUCCCGCAACAGAAACUCCUGUCGUAGAUAAUAUGGUUAGGCCAAAAUAUCAUAGGAAGAAUUUUAGAUAUUAUGGAAUAGCAAUAAACUUGGUGAGCACCAUCAGAGUGAACAUUGAGGUUCUGAUCUUGACUCAAACAAACAACUUUUGAUGCCAUUGGGUGGCUCUUUGUAGCCAACUGAAAUGAAUUCUCUGCUAACUGUAAAAUCAAAUGAAAGAAAGUAAGAAAAUAACCAUAGUAAUGCACAGCAUCAACACAUGUUAGUCCCCUUAGUUGAACUUGUCCAUUGACCAUCUAGGAUAAAAGAAAAUGUACAGCCAGAAUUCAAAACCUAAUUGGACCAUUGCACAGAAACUUUUUGAUGGAAAAUAGUUGCCAACAUCAGAUCAAUACACCCAAUUCUUCUUUUGAUGUAAAGUAAACACACCAAAAGUGAGAUCACACCAAAAGAAAUGGACAUAGUAUAUCACAUCAACACACCCCAUAUUUACAGACAAGUCAAAAAUUCUCCACAGCUGAGUUACCAGUUUAAACCGAAACGAUGAACAAAAAAGAAAGGACAGAUUUUAAAACAUUCCAAAUCCCUGGUUGUUUAAUAUCUCACCAACAUGCCUAAAAUCACAUUUCAAUAUAUUUAAGUCAUUUGACAGAAGAAGAAACAAUCAAAAUCUUGUACAUAAACCCCAUCUCAGAAACCGCAUAUGAAAUCUGAAUCUCAAAUUUUGAUUAUUGGUGCUUCUUUACCAUCAUCAAUUGAAAACAAAACCCAUUGUCCCCAAAUUCCCAAAACCUGGUCUCGAAUAGAUACACCCAAUUCAAAAAGAAAACCCAUAUCGUUAAUCUUGGCUACGACUAACCCUAUUCCCGAUCUCCACAAAUUCAACAUUCAAUUCUUAAAGGAUUUCUUCAAUUGAAGCCAUGGCAGUCAGUGAUUUUGACAAACGAAACCCUAAAGAAAUGAAUUGAAAUCGGAAGAUUAAGAAAACUGACCAACGAACGAAGAUUUCCCGAAAUUGCUCUUGGAAUUUGAAAAUCGCGUUUCCCAGUUUUUGUGUUGCUAAUGUUUCUCUCUCUGUUCAUCGCCUUUAUACAAGCGGAACGAGAGCCCAACGGUAACUGCAUGGCUAUUUACAUAAAAGCCCCUCUUUUCAUUUCAUUGUCAAUUUAUAAAAUUCGGACUCUGGACCCUUAUCUUGACCCGACCCGUUUCAGAAAGCACUUAAAACUGUUUCCUCUUCCCCACUUGUCCAACUCCUCCUCCUCAAAAAUGGAACACCAGCACGAGCACCCCGAAACCCUCCCACCCUCCUCCACCACCCCCACCUGCUGCAAAUGCGGCGGCCCCACCGCCAUGGCCGCCCCUCCUCCGUCGUGCUCCCCUCCCCCAGUCUACCGCCCCAUCCGAGCCCCCGCCAUCAACCUCCCCCCUAACAACAACUCCCAACAAGCCAUCAUCCUCGCCCCGGUCCCACAAGCCAAGCCGGUCCCACCCAUCUCUCCCCCCUUCCACUUCCAGCCCCCCUCCAAACAAAUCCAAUCCCCCGACGACCUCCGCCGCUUCCACGACUCCGAUUCCGGCAAGCACUUCCUCGGCUUCGUCGUCGCCCUCUCCGAAUCCAUCCGCUCCAAAAGGAUCUCCGAUCCCUGCCACGUGUCCCCCGUCACCGCCUCCAUCGUCUCCAUCCUCGAAACCCUAAUCCAAUGGGUCGACCAAAUCCCGCCGACUCAGCAAGCCGCCCGAUACGGCAACGUUUCGUACCGCGUCUGGCACGACCGCCUGGUCGAAAAUAGCCCUGACCUAAUGCUCAAAUUCCUCCCACCCCAUCUCGAACCUUCCACCGUCGAGAUCGUCCCCUAUUUCUCCGACUCCUUCGGAAACCCUAGCCGGAUCGACUACGGCACCGGCCACGAGACCAAUUUCGCGGCGUGGCUCUACUGCCUGGCCAGAAUGGAUCUCAUUAAACAAGAGGACUACCCUGCCGUGGUGGCCAGAGUGUUCGUCAAGUACCUGGAGCUCAUGAGGAAGCUUCAGCUGGUCUAUUGCUUAGAGCCGGCCGGGUCUCACGGCGUCUGGGGCCUCGACGACUAUCAUUUCCUGCCGUUUAUUUUCGGCUCAUCGCAGUUGAUUGAUCACAAGUACAUGAAGCCUAAGUCCAUUCAUAAUGAUGAUAUAUUGGAGAACUUUUCAAAGGAGUAUAUGUAUCUUUCAGCGGUGGCUUUCGUGAAGAAGGUGAAGAAGGGGCCGUUUUCGGAGCACUCGCCGCUGUUGGAUGAUAUCAGUGGAGUUCCGAAUUGGAAUAAAGUUAAUAGUGGGAUGCUCAAGAUGUAUAAGGUUGAGGUGUUGGAGAAGGUGCCUAUUAUGCAGCAUUUCCUAUUCGGCUGGCUUAUCAAAUGGUAUGAUCCUGUUACUUAUCUACAUUGCUCUAUCUAAACAAUUAACAUAGAUUCAUAGAUUGUAAGCAAGUUACAAAUUUGUACUUUUUCUCUUCUAGAGUUAAGUUAUCAAGCUUGAAAAAGGAGGAGUAGUUACGAAUUUUAUUUCUUAGACAAAGUGUGGUUCUGAUCUUAUAGUUCUAGUCUGUGGUGGAGCCUCAUUUAAGCGGGAUGUACUGACACAACAUAAUUAAGUGCUUGGUGUUGUUCGGAGGGAGGGUUAAUAACUUGUUUUGGGUUUGGCUAAAAUUUGUAAAAUUAGGACUAUUUGAAUUAUUGGUUUAUUUUUGGUUGAAAAAUUUGGCCACUGCCUUGAGCGAUUAACAGCUUUUUAUUAGGAUCUGAGGCCAUCCUAGGCCAAUUGUCUCUAUUGUUGUUGUGUACCCUUUCCCUGCAUGACUUCAUGUGAAGAUGCAGCCAUAUGUUUCAUUCUCUGAGCUUUUUGUUUCAACUUUAACAACAAACCUGGUGCAGCAAUAUAAGAGCUACUGAUGCAGGGAGGAGCAACAGAUGAUGUGAGAGUAAUAGGGUGAUGAGGGAGUGUUGAGAGAACAAGGAGACAGAAUAGGUUUUAAAGAAAGAGAGGGUUUAGAAAGGAAAUAGAAUGAGGGAGGUUUUUUUUUGAAAGGCGAAUGAGGGAGGUUAGGGAAGAGGAAACAAGGCCAAGCCUUAUUAAGGUAAAAUCUCAAUUAAUUCCAAACUCCCUUGGGAUUACAUUAGAAAGCCAUAUUUAUAGGCUUAAAAUACAACCCUUAGACUCCUAGAAUACCGUAAGACUAAUAAAACUUAUUAAUUUACCCUUAAAUACUUAAAGACUUAAAUAGACAUAAAGACACACUCAAGACUUAAAAGCACUACUCAUAAUUAUUCUUUAUAUCUGAAAAUAAACUUGACAAGGCCCUUGAUUUUCCUUUGGACCAAAAAGGGAUGGGCUUAGUCUUUGGCUUCCAAAGAGGAUAUUUCAUUUCCAGCCAGCUUAUGGCUGCUCCGUUAGCUAGGCUUUUAGAUCAUCACAGGAAACAUCUUUCAUUCUUAACAAGCAAUGAUUUUCAGAUUCCCUCUGUGAUCUUCUGCAUUGCACUAGCAUCGAGUGUGCCUAGAGUUGCAGGUAUAGGUUUUCCAAGUCUCAAAACUGGUAUCCGGUUCUCUAUUGUCAUGACAGAUAUAGUAUUAAGGUCCAAGAAUACAUGAAACUUUUGCCAUCUUAUUAGUCAUCUUUGUGAAACCCACAACUUAGUUGUUGCGUACCUGUAACUCUGUAAGAGUAUGUGAUGAACGUUUUGACCUUUAAACAUAGAAUAGCAGUGUAAAGAAAUAGUAUCGCAUUACAUUACUUAUGUCAAGCACCAAUUCAGCAGUCGUAUGGUGUUUUCAUAAGAUUAUUAUUGAACAGAAUAUGUAGAAGCUGAAUUUCUCGUAUUGUGUGUCAAUCAUGAUUCGACAGCUGAGUCUCAAUUGUGGAAAUGUGCAUUUUAAGUAUUAGCUAGUGCUGGAUGGAUAAGUGUGUUUUCGUAUUGUAUGUUAACUGAUAUCCUCCAAUGUUUCCUUUUCCCAGGGAGUAAAUCGUAACAUGAGAUUUAUUGGGCAUCUUUCGUGGAAGAGACUUCAGAUUUCUGUCAGGUUAUAAGUUAGUAGAAGUUUAGAGAGGUACUAGAUCGAAAAUAUACUUCUGCUCUUCUGUAAAUACUGCUCUGGUUACUGAUUAUGUGGUCUUGCCGUUAUGUGAGUGCAUUUUAUUUUGAUAUAAAAACUUCGCUCUGAAUGGAAGCGUGAUGUGUUUCUGAAAUGGCAAACGGAAAUUGAUCCCAAAAAGAGGAGUAUAUGCCCAUGAUAAGAGAUAACUGUUUGUGUUGAGCUCGGAUUCAUUUCCUCCUCAGCGAGUAUGAAGUCUUGGUGAUCAGUUUAGAAGUUGGUUUUAGAAUGUCCUUUUUUCAGCCCAUGUAUUGGUUUUGUUCCCAUACUCACUGUUAGUAAGUCGUCGAUAUAAUUUAGGAGCUGUUCAAAGUUAUAGACAAGAAUUUCAAUAUGAAACUUUCUCGGUUUUCAACUUUGAAAUGUUUGGAUAAUUCUGACUUCUGACGGUCUAAGAAUUGCAUGAAAACAGUGAUUUGACAACAAAAAUAUGUACAUGCAAUUCUGGAUAGAUUUUUAGGUGCAUGAUCCACACUUACACAGAACUAGAAUAUGACGUUGCAGUAUAUAGGCUUUGCCAUUAUCCUGCAUACUAUUGUAAGCAUCCUUUACUAAUUCUUAUAUGUCUAUACUUAUGAUAGCGGAAUGACGUGUAAUGGCUAUUCUGGACUUUGUUUGUUUUUCUCAAUAUAAAAUCAAUUGAUUCGCUUUCAAAAAAGUCAAGCUACAAAAAUAUAAGCAGGAUCAAAAAUAGAAGUGGCGUAUAUGUCUGAAAUAAAACUACCAGUUACUUUUAAGGCUCUACAAGGAUCACCAUUGAGACAAAAAAAAAAAAAAAAAAAAGUCUACGGAGUUAUGAUAGAAGUGAUCAAUACUGAUGAGAGUGAAAGUGUACAUUUAACUGUGUUUCAACAGAAAAGGUACAAGAUGAAAUGAGUCGUGAAAAAAGGGUUUUCGCAUGAGAAAUAAUAGAUAUACAAGAUUAAGCUUUCUUUUUCAAUCCUUAUGUUACAGGGGUCUUAUUUUGUUCAUCAAUUUGUUGACACACUGUACAUACAGCUCCUCCUAGUUUACAAGUACUUUUUGUGCUAUCUACAACUUCCAAAAUGCCUUACGAUACUAAUGAACUCAAUGUGACUGAAUAUUGGAACGCUGCUGUUUCAAUCUAUCAAUGGUGUAAUUGUAAGCGCCAACCAAUUGUUUCCGAAAUCUUGGGAGGUCUAGUCUCACCGUCUGACCCUCAAGAUAGAUCAUCUUUGUGUAUUGCCAUCCCUUUCUGGUUACACUCCUUGGAUCUUUAAGAACAGGAUCAUCCUUGUUAUAUUUGUCACAUAACGAGCUCUCUUUAGUAAGGAUUUGGUAUCCAAUGUAGUUUAACCCAAGCUUCUUUGCAGGUUCUCCAUAGUAUGCCUCUGCUGCCCAUUCAAUUCCGAGAGGAAUGACUUGGAUAAACACAGAACCAGGCUUCAUAAACAGAAAAUGUGUCAUGGCAGCACCAUGAACCCCAAUCAUGACAUCGCUCGAAUUUAGAGCCCAAUAAAUCUCUGCUAACAUUGUCCUGCUAUCCGGCCUCAAAACUUGGACAUGAAACCCGAUUUUCUCAGCCAUUUUCACCAGCAAAUUCUCAUUGGUUAUCGCCCUUGAUCCAUUCCGAGAUAUGAUAACCAACUUCGGCUCGUUAUUGAAUGCACGCUCUUGCACAUUUCUCCUGAUUCUGGAUGGCCUUUUCGAUUUCGAAAGAACAUCAGAAACCUUUGCAUGUUCAUGCAUAUGCAUUAGACUUCUAAUCUGAGGCUGGUAAGCUCUGUCAAGGAGUUCUCGGAAAUCGACGAUGCUCUUAUUCCCUUCCAUCAAUGAAGAAUCCACAGUGAGCUCAUCGUGAAUUUUCAAACCAACGAUGGCCUCAGGGAAGCAAUGAACUCUCUCAUCUGUAUGGAAAUCUAUUACAGGAUAAUCUGAGAGAUGGGAGAGAAUGUCCGAAUAUUUCAUGACCCACCAAUUGUGAAAUUCAAGAAUGACGAACACAACCUUCUUGUUGAAAUGUUGGGAAGUAAUGUACAGUGGCAUAAUCCCAUCAUUAAAUUCAUGGUAGACGUUGCCGGUGUAACCCCCGGUUGAGAAAAACACUGCCGGAACAUCAUGUUGGACAUCACAGUUAUGAUGGUUCAUGAUCAGAGUACGUUUCUUUGCAAUGAGGUCCAACUCAACAAUGGUGUCCAUAAUAAUUGUUUCCCAUUUUCUGGUGUAGGGUUUGAUCUUUUCGUGUUGGAGGUCCUCCUCAUUCUUCACUGCUUGGUCUUGCGAUGCGUAAACGAAGAUAGAAGAGGAAGGCGAGUGUGUUCUUACAUCCCCUUUCAUGGUACAAACAUCUGAACGCAUACUGCUUCUAUCACAACAAAUAGCUCCUGCAGCUACAAAGACAAGUACAAUUCUAAUUAGUGUAGUUUAUAACUUUAUUAUUUGGUUAAAUGAAUAAUAUAACUUUAUAACUUUAUAUAUGUAUAUGAACAAAUAAAUAAGUAGACAAAUUAAUUAGUCGAUCGAUCUGAGAAAAAAACAGUGUUUGAGAGAUUAUUUCAACUAAACAAAUCACUCUAGCUUUGCUGCAUACUGAAAAUAAAGAUCGAGAGAAAAAUAAAAUCUUAUUUUUGAAACUAAGAAAGUAUUAACAAAGGAGUAAUCAAAAGAUAUUAUUGUUGGAAAUUAACUACUAUGAAUAAUGUUCUUGUUGGAAAAUUUGUUGCGCUGAAUGUUUGGGUAGACCGUGAAAUGAAUCAUAAGGGAUCAAGUCUUUGACGUAGACAUGACCCUGAGUUUCCCAUCAGGCAUAUCAAAAUAUCAAACUAAUUAACAAGGUGUAAGUGUAUUAGUAUACAACUUAUAAGGAAAAAUGUCUAUUUAGUACUAAUUUAAGUCUCUUAUUUCCAAUUCCAAUGAUAAUCUUUUUCAUUAACCCAUUUCAAUAUAAGGUAACAUUUUUUAUGCCCAAAUACACAAAUCUUUAUGUCCAACUGCACAAAUCUUUACUGAAGUCUUAACAAAUCAUAUUAUUUUAAGACUAUUUUAUCAUCACCCCUUAAACAUGCAUAGAGAGAGAAAAUGAAAGAGAGAAUACUUGGCCGGAAUAUCACCGGACUCUGGUCACCGACCGUCGGACUCCAGUCACCGGUCUCCGGCGCCGGACUCCGAUCACCAGAAUUUUCCCGACCGCCGGACUCCGGUCACCGGAAUUUCCCCAACCGCGAGACUCCGGUCACCGAAGUUUUCCCUGUAACUAGUUAAUGACCCUUGAUAACCAGUUACUGACUAGUUAAUGACCCCUAAUAACCAGUUACUAACCCCUAGUAACUGGUUACUGACCAGUUAUUGACACCUAGUAACUAGUUACUGACCCCCAGUAACCGGUUACUGACCAAUUAUUGACACCUAGUAACUAGUUACUGACACCCAGUAACCAGUUAUUGACUCCUAAUAAUCGUGUUACUAACCUUUAAUAAUCAGUUACUGACCCCCAAUAAUCAAUUUAUUUCAGCUUAAUAAUACCAGAAAAGAAGAAAUAUAAGAACAUAAUCAGUUACUGACCCCUAAUAAUCAGUUACUGCCAGUCAAUAAUCAUUUUAAACAUACCUUCUCUCCUUCUCCAACCACAACAUACCUUCUCUCCUUCUCUAAAUGCAAACAAUUUCUCUGACUGCACCACCAAUAUCUUCAAUUCGUUGACCAGCCACUCAAAAUCUCCUACCUCUUUCUUAACUGACCUUCUUCCGACAGUGUCUCUUGCGGACUGGAAUUCCAUCGAGCCGUUGAUCGAUCGCCGUCAUCGGACCACCGGCAUUGGCAGCGGCUUCAUGGCCUUUGAUGAAAAUCCUAGCUCCGAUCAGCUUCUUGUUACAAUUACUCGCCGCAAAUCGGUCUCCGGUCUCACACACACUUCUCCACUGCUUUGGCAUCGGGCCGAGAUUCAAAUCCGAGAAGCUCUGACGCUUCGGCCAGACUCCUGUGUCAAAAACCCCGACGUUAAUGUCAGAGCCGUAGUCGGAUUCGGACCAGAGCCCACGCUGGUUUCGAAGCCCCAGGAACUGCGGUGAGCGAGUGGUGUGGAGGUGGCGGCGGCAGUCUUCGAAGACUUGGAGGACGGCGAGGUGGUGGCUGAGGGAGGUGGCUUGGUCGGAGGUGAGAGCGGCGGGAUUAGAGAGAUAGACGAGACCUUUCAUGGUGUGAUGGCAGCGGUAAUGGUGAGGGGGGAGAGAGAGAGAGAGAGAGAGAGAGAGAGAGAGAGAGAGAGAGAGAGAGAGAGAGAGAGAGAGAGAGAGAGAGAGAGUAGAGUAGUAGUAGUAGUAGUGUAUUUUUAAUAAGAUUCAUUGGAACGGGCUAUUCAAUCUUUAUUUCAUUGAAAUAGAAUUUACUUUUCAUGUUUUUGUGUAUUUAGGCAUUUUCCCAACUUAUAAUUAGUCUACUUUGAUAGGUUGGUUUUGGAAAAAAUAUAUGGUCUAGGUUUAAGGCUAGACCGCAGCCAGCCAACUGCGCUAGGGCCAGGAGAAAACGAUGAUAAAUUAGUAUACUGGUUAAUUUCCUUUCUUUUUUGCCAAUCAAUACUAUUUUGUUUAUAGAUAAAUUAGUAUAAUAGUUCUGGGUUGAUGAUGAAACUUGAAAGAUACGUAACAACACUACUUACAGCAGAAACAAUCUACAGAGAAAGCCAGAAGAGAAGCAGAGAAAGCACAAACCAUUAGACAUCGAAGAAUACAAGGGAGCCUUUGCGUCGGUAACAGCAGCAGUACUCGGGCCUUCAUUUUCUCCUUCCGGUGGUUCUACAGAAACACAAAUAGCUACAAAUUUUAACAGAUGAAACGUGUAAACUUCAUAACGAAAUAUGGGAAAACCAGAACUUACUUGAAAGGGAGAAAGUGGGGACAGAGGAAAAUAUCAGAUGAGGGGCUAAUAUGAAGCUACAAGAGAGAAUACAGAUGAAGAGAAAGGUGAAAAGCUUUGAAGUUGAUCUUUUGUAAUAACUAGAGCUCGCACACUCCAUAGCAAGGGUCUGACACUCCUCAUCAUCUUCUUCCUCCCUAGGCUUUUCACCUUUUUUGCGCUGGUGGUAUACCAUUUUAUUUCUUCUGCAGAAGGGUUCUAUUUAAGUUUUCGGAUUAAAUUCUGGGUUAAGCUUUCUGAUCGAACUGGCUGGCCGGCCUAGCAGUACGUUCUGAUGUUAACCCAGCUUUACACUAAACUUAAAGGAAAGGGAAAUUGCAAGACGUAGAUAACAGAGGGAAGAAAGCGAGGAUAUAUAUAUAAAUGGCAAACGAUCGAGAUUCCUAUGUGAUUAUUGACAUUAGGUUUUGGUUUCUAUAUAUCUCUGUCGAUAUCACAGAGAGAGGAAGGUGAAGGUGAGGGUAGGCUAAUUCGGGGGGAGUUCUAUCUAUUAACUCUACAAAUAUUCAGGGGAGGCUAACUAACUAAUUGAUCUAGCUGUGGUACCAUGGAACAUAUAUAAUAAUGCAAGACGUUAGAUAGUCUAAAUCAUUGGCCGUCAUAUUCUGAUUCUUGUGAAACCAUAUAGCGAGGAGAGGAUCGAUCAUGUACCAGAAAACUAAAAUAUCCGAAAAUAAAUUUUAAAAUUUAUUUUGGUCAUACCGAAAAUAAAUUUUAAGUUGAAUGGUAUUUGUCAUGUGAUAUACAAGUAUAUCAAGCCAAAUAAUGCUUCAAAAACUGCGUGCUUCAGAACUAGAUUUUAGCUUGGUAUUCUUCUAGGCUUUUAGCAGCACGAUGUUGAAUUUGUAUCCUCCACAAUGUAUGGACGUCUUAAUAUAACAGAUCGAAAAGAAAAAACAUUAAAAAUUGUAUAUAGUUGACUGAUCAAUUCAUCAAGUAUAUAUCGUUGAUAUAUAGAGUUGGGACGACAUAUAGUAUCGUUGUUCACUCACGGAACCCUAGCUAGCUAGGUUCCUUGAGUUCUUGCGUACGUGUCUUUCAAGCUACCGGCCAAUUAAGAACAACAGCAGUUUAAUUUGCUCCUUUUCAACACCAUGCAUCUUGUUGAGAACCAUUUCAGCUUUCUGAGAAGAUCGAAUAACCAAGUCCAUCGAUCUAAAUCUUCCUCACCUUGGAAGCUAGAAUAAUCCCUAUAUUGUAUUCAAGGAGCCCUCCAUCCCCAUAUCUCUUCUUUGGUGCUAAGCAUAAGUACGUCAGUACGUGCUGGGUUUUGGAGUACCAUAUACUACUACACAUUACGUAAAACAAACAUUAUAUGAAAAUUAGUGAAAUUUCAAUUCGAUCAUCGUUCUUAAAUCUUUAACUAGUGCAUGUACAAUCAUGUUAUCUAAUUAACCUAAACAAGAGAAAUUCUGAUUACCAACUAUUAAAAGUAUUGGAGAGGAAUAGAUUACACAUCAGGAAAGUGAUAAAUAAAAUAUAACUUAUAUGUGGAUGGAUCUUAUCUAAUUGUACCGAGAUCUUUUGUGAUUAAAACCCAACACCUUAAAAGUGGUUAAAUUGGGACAGUAUCGGUACAAUGUGAUCCACGGGCCACGCUUGUCGCUGUUUAACAUGGUAUCAGAGCGGGUCCCUCUCCAAUUACUUUUCCAAUUCUCAUGGGCCCGAUUUGGGUUCAUUCUCUCGUCCGGUCCGGGAUUCUAUUCUUUUGCCCGGUUCCGACUUCUUAUCUCACCAUCGGAAUGUUCCGAUUGGAUUGUCACCAAGUGUCCCUGGGUUCGUUCCGUCCUGAUUUAUUCCACGUGCGGACCUUGAGUCAGGUUGCAUGUGAGGGGGCGUAUUAAAAAUAUUCGAGAGGAAUAGAUCCCAUAUCAGAAAAGUGACAAAUAAAAUAUAACUUAUAUGUGGAUGGAUCUUAUCUAAUUGUAUCGAGGCCUUUUGUGAUUAAAACCCAACACCUUAAAGGUGGUUAAGUUGGGACAGUAUCAGUACAAUGUGAUCCACGGGCCACGUUUGUCGCUGUUUAACACCAACAUGUAUACAUGCAGGUGCCCAACGCCCAACACUCAUUUGCACCAUAUAUAUUGAGCAAACCAUAGAAAUUUCCAAUCAACCAUAAUUUCAAUACAAUUUUGUUUUCCUCUCUCGAACUUAUUCCUCCUCUAUUUGUUCUUCAAUAGAGAUCCCGAAUCCUUCCUUCUUCUUUUAAAAGAUGGUAUACGUACAUAGCAACAAAUUAACUAACUAAUUUAUAGGUUUAAGAACGACUUUGGAAGAAGUCCAAAGUCCAAACUUUUACGCUUCAAUUUCUUUGAAUGAUUGAUUGGUUAUUUUCAGUGUAUAUAAAUUAAGCAUGCCAAUCUGGAGGAUGUAAUUUAUUUCUCUUUUUAAGAAAAAAAUUCCAAUCUGGAGGACAUUUCGUCAUCUCUUAAUAUUCUACUAUAUUUGGUUCCUACGUCACUGCUUUUAAUUUUCUUCUAUAAGAAUAACCAUCUAUCUAUUAUAAUUUUUUAAAUGAUCUGAUAACUCUUGCUUCUUCAAUUGUACGUUAUUGGGGUCUUGGGGUCUCUUUCAGACGAAGUUGACCAAUAAUUUAUAGGGAAAAUGUUAAUUUAGUACUAAUUUAAACCCUUUAUUGCUCAUUCCAAUAAAUUUAAUAGACAUAAGCCCAUUCCAAUAUAAGGUGUUAUUAUUUGUGCCUAAAUAUGCAAAUCUAUAUUAAAGUCAUAAUAAAAUAAUAAUUUUUGUAUAUUUUUAAGACAAUUUUACCCUCACCACUUCAACAUGUAUAAGGAGAGAGAGAAAGUAAAAGAGUGAGAAGACUUUGCCGGAACCUCACUGGAUUCCGGUCACCGGACCGGUUGCCAGAAUUUUCUUCGGUCACCGGUUAUUGAUCCCUAGUAACUCAGAUUUUCUCCAGUCACCGGUAACUCGGUUACUGACCCCAAUAACUUAGUUACUGACCCCUAAUAACUGGGUUACUAACCCCUAAUAAUCAGUUACUGACCCCUAAUAACUUGGUUACUGACCCCAAUAAUCAGUUACUGACCCCCAAUAACUGGAUUACUGACCCCCAAUAAUUCAAUUGCUGACCCCCAAUAAUCAAUUACUGACCCCCAAUAAUUCAAUUACUGACCCCCAAUAAUCAGUUACUGACCCCCAAUAAUUCAGUUACUAACCCCCAAUAAUCAGUUACUGACUCCCAAUAAUCAACUUAUUUCAGCUUAAUAUAAUAUAAAAGAAGAAAUAUCAGAAAAAAAUCGAGUUACUGACCCUAAUAAUCGAGUUACUGAUCUAAUAACUUGGUUACUGACCCCUAGUAAUAGUUAUUGACCCUAGUAAUCAUCCCCAAUGGAUAAUUUUCCAUAUAAAUUAGGCUCCAAAUGCAAACAAUCUCUCCUUGUCUGACUCCACCACCAAUAUCUUCAAUUCGUCACCACCACAAAUGUGAGCAUCAGAUACCAUUUUCUAUGCAUUAUUAGUCUAAUGGUGACAUAACCCAAAGAAUGGUGACAGAACCCUAAGGAUUUCUCCCCAAUCCUUAUAACGGUGUCACUAUUAGCAAAAACUACAACUGUUUGACUGUCACCAAUAUUGUUUAAAGUUAUAAAAUUAUACUUUUAUGAGUUUAUCUCUUUUUUUUUGUGGUGCAUAACGAAGUUCCUCUCUCUCUCUCUNNNNNNNNNNNNNNNNNNNNCUUGUGCAUCAUAAUUUCUUGAUUUUGGUUUUAGAGGCUCUUGCAUACAUUCUUUCUCCACUGCAGAACUUGAACUUUGGGGUUAAUUUUUUAGGGUUGGAAUGAAGCUUAUCACACUGGUCAAAAGAACAGAAAAGGAAUGGACAUUUUCAUGAUCUUUAGGAUAAUGAAAGGUGGAAGAUGAUAUAAUUUAACUGAUGAAAAUUCUUUUUUGAUGAAAUUUUAUAACUGCUGACUAUAUAAUAGUUAAUUUGGGUGCUUAUUCUUGAUACUGUUGUUUCAGAAAUGACAAUGUCGAGAAUUAUUUGAUAGAAGUUGUUUACCUGGUGAGUUCAGUUCUCUGAGAUGUUUAUUCGCUUUGAAUACUUUGUAAUGUUCAUGAGGUUUAAGUAAGGACUCUACUAAUAACUUGAUUAUUAUUAGUUUGAUGUGGUAUAAAAGGAGUUCAUGUAUCAAUAAGAAAAAAAGGAGUUCAUGUAGACACUAAUGUUUAAUUGUCAGUAUGUCUGCACAUUUAACUUGUAGAUAUGUCUUUUGUAUCAAUCUUAAAUGUCACUGUGUAUAUUCUUGAUGGGAAAUCAAUUUUAUGAACUCUUCAAUCAAAUGCAGUUUCUUUAGAGUUUUAUAUUCUUUACGCCAAAUAGAGAAUUACUGCAUAACUAGCUUCUUCCAACUUUUGUGGUCUGUUAUAUUAAGUAGCUUACAUCACUGUUUUUGGGUGAUGAGAUGAAUAUGAUAGUCAAACUUCACAUUAUUGUUAGUUUAUGUCUGCUUUUGGUACUAAGGUACUCCGAAGACUUAAUUUUUAGGGGAGGAAAUUCUUGAGAUUAAUAAUCCAAUUAGUCCUUUUGGUACUAAGGUACUCUGAAGACUUAAUUUUUUUUGUUUCAUGUUCUUGCUUCAUUAUUCAUAAAUUAUAUGAGAUGACUUUGGCAUUUGUUGUCGUAGAAGUUGGCUUUUACAUUCAUACUUUUAGACUUUAAACAAGAGUCUUUUGAUUCCUAAUUGCAGAUUUCUAAUAACUAUCGAGGGGAAGGUGUUUUUUAUUUAUAUUAUGAUAUUUGAGUGAAUGAAAUGAAAAAAGAGAUAAUAGUUGUCAAACUCCUCUUACCAUAUGAAUUUUGUGGUUAACAUGGUUAAGUGUUUUCUAUCGAAUGAAUAGACAAAAGAAUAUGCGUAUUGUGCACCUCUUAUGUGUCAAUUUUAACUGGUAAAGUUGAAGCAUGUUUACAUGGUUUAGAACAUGUAUAAAUAAUGUUUAGGGCUUCUAUUAUUGUGUAUUAAGGCUAGUAUGUUUUCUGCGUUAUAGGAAGCGCCUCCUAUAGUCAAGUCUUACUAUGACAAAAGAAUAGUUGGAUGCCCUGGUAUUGAAGGAGGUAAACUUCACCUACAUAUUUAUCUUCCCUCCUUAUCAGUUCUUAAUUUGUAUACAAUUGUCCUUGAUUCAUAUCAAUCUAUUUGAACUUCUUAAGAUUCUUAACUGACUGAUCAUAUGCAGUUUUUUUGUAGGGUGUUCAUUCUGAAACAGAAAGCUGCAAGACCGUAUGAAUGAGGAGACAAAAAAUGUCGUUCACUCAAUAAGGUACGCUUAUAUUCUUUUGUAAAUGUGAAUCAGUAAUUGAAUAUGCAUCAUCCAUAAAAGUGGGCUGAUACUACCAUUACUAUAUAUGAUACUACCAUUCCUUGGGAACUUAAUUCAUAGUACAUUAUUGUUCACUAUAACCUCGUUUCUAGCUUCAGAUUUUACCUUCUAUGUGUCAACUUUGCCGAUAGAUGCUUAAUUUAUGAACUUGAACCAGGUUUUACUAUAAUAAAUGUGAAUGAUAAUUGUUUCUUCAAAGGUUCUUACCCAAAAGAAAUUUUAUUGUAUGUUUUCUGGCCAACUUACCCAAAAUGUGUUUUUUUGCUUGCAGGAAAAGAUGUGGACUUUGUACACUAUACUUGCAUUUUAGUGAUGGAAGGAGAGAGAGGAGAGGAUUAUCUUGUAUUAUGAACUAAGGUAUGUGAUACAUAACAUGUAGGGAGCUUUUAUAUGAACUUGUUCAUCAAGUUGAUAUUUUUAUGAAGUCAGGGGUUAUGAACAUGUUGAUAAUUUAUGAGCUUCAAGUUGAUAUUUUUACAAAGUCACGGGUUAUGAACAUGUUGAUAGUUUAUGAGCUUCAAGUUGAUUUUAUUUCCACUGGAUACAUUGAUUUUAUUUCCACAAGAUACAUAUCAUCUGUUAUAUGAAGGAAAUAAAAUUAUGAGGGGUGAUUUAUAGCCAAGUAAUCUUUGCCCAUGUUGUUGCUUUGCAGGAGAUACUAGAGACGGGAUAGAGACGGGAUACUAGAGACGAGAUAGGAGAGAUGAAAGAAAGCGGUUUUGAAUUUAAAGAAGCUGGUUUUGAAGAUGCUUUUGCUGAAUAUGUAGGACCUAUAGAGUUUUAUAGCUGAAUUAUUUUUUUUAUUUAUUAAUUCAAUGAAGUCACCUAAGAUUGGAUUGGUGAGUAUAUAUGUAGUCACCAAAAAGAUGAUAGUGUGUUGUUGGGAAAAGCCACGGCAACAAUGCAAACUAAUCUCAUAAUAGUGGCUAGGGCCGUGGCUAUCAUGAAUCCACACCAAUGAUUAGUUUCCAUUGGUUCAAUGCACACCAUUAGUGAUGGUGUUUGUUGCCCACAUUUCUGGUAGUGCGUUGACUAGCCACUCAAAAUCUCUUACCUCUUUCUUCACGGUUAUCGACUCAAAACCCUAUCGGAGCCACAACAUCACUUCCCCCCCUCAUAUCCGACCCGACCUUCAGCGACCCGACAAUCUCUGACGAGGACUCCGCCGACGCAUGACUCCUAUGCUCCACCCAAGUUCCUUGACGCUUCCACGUCUUCCACCAGCAACUAGCUGUAUCGAAUAUCUAGUUGGUCGAGUAGUCAAGUCAUCGCUCAUCGCCAGGCUAGGGGACAAGAGAGCCGAGGAGAAGCAAGAGGCAGUGAAGGUGAUUUCUCCAGCUGAAGCUGAUGUCGUCCUCGAUCUCGUCGUAGAUGAGAAAGUUUGGUCGGCGGUGUUGUGCUCGGAGGUAGAGGCCGGUUGUGUUGUGCUCGGUGAUGUGGACCAGGCUGGCGGCGUCGUCCAGGAAGGAUUUGAACUCUAACGAGUGUGCUUGGGUGAUUGUGAAACGUGGAGCGGCGGCAGGCCGAAGCUUGGGCUCGUCUGACACGACCCACCCCGAAUUUCACCCUGAAACCCGGAGUAAGUCGUGCGGGGACCACCUCCAAGGAAAAUUUACUGAAAAGAUUGAGAAAAUCUCCCUUGCAGAUGGACAACCCUAACUCGAAAAUUCCAAAUUUCACUCUUAAUUCAACACUUCCAAACAUCACAUAAUUAUCCUUCAGAAAUUCUACACAUAAUAUACAAUAAUCCCAAAGUAUUCAGAGCUACUAAACACUAGCGGAAGCAAGAAAACACGAGUAGGUUAAACAUGUAACCUAUUGAUGAAAACUGACGGAAAUGCGGGUGACUAUGCCUCGUCUCCUACUAGAUCCAACCCGAACUCUGCAGACUGGGCAAUUUAAAACGAAGGGCCCAGGGGAAAACAUUUAAUAACGUUAGAGUGAGUGGACAAAAAUAAAAUAAUAAAAUAAAAAUAUUUNNNNNNNNNNNNNNNNNNNNNNNNNNNNNNNNNNNNNNNNNNNNNNNNNNNNNNNNNNNNNNNNNNNNNNNNNNNNNNNNNNNNNNNNNNNNNNNNNNNNNNNNNNNNNNNNNNNNNNNNNNNNNNNNNNNNNNNNNNNNNNNNNNNNNNNNNNNNNNNNNNNNNNNNNNNNNNNNNNNNNNNNNNNNNNNNNNNNNNNNNNNNNNNNNNNNNNNNNNNNNNNNNNNNNNNNNNNNNNNNNNNNNNNNNNNNNNNNNNNNNNNNNNNNNNNNNNNNNNNNNNNNNNNNNNNNNNNNNNNNNNNNNNNNNNNNNNNNNNNNNNNNNNNNNNNNNNNNNNNNNNNNNNNNNNNNNNNNNNNNNNNNNNNNNNNNNNNNNNNNNNNNNNNNNNNNNNNNNNNNNNNNNNNNNNNNNNNNNNNNNNNNNNNNNNNNNNNNNNNNNNNNNNNNNNNNNNNNNNNNNNNNNNNNNNNNNNNNNNNNNNNNNNNNNNNNNNNNNNNNNNNNNNNNNNNNNNNNNNNNNNNNNNNNNNNNNNNNNNNNNNNNNNNNNNNNNNNNNNNNNNNNNNNNNNNNNNNNNNNNNNNNNNNNNNNNNNNNNNNNNNNNNNNNNNNNNNNNNNNNNNNNNNNNNNNNNNNNNNNNNNNNNNNNNNNNNNNNNNNNNNNNNNNNNNNNNNNNNNNNNNNNNNNNNNNNNNNNNNNNNNNNNNNNNNNNNNNNNNNNNNNNNNNNNNNNNNNNNNNNNNNNNNNNNNNNNNNNNNNNNNNNNNNNNNNNNNNNNNNNNNNNNNNNNNNNNNNNNNNNNNNNNNNNNNNNNNNNNNNNNNNNNNNNNNNNNNNNNNNNNNNNNNNNNNNNNNNNNNNNNNNNNNNNNNNNNNNNNNNNNNNNNNNNNNNNNNNNNNNNNNNNNNNNNNNNNNNNNNNNNNNNNNNNNNNNNNNNNNNNNNNNNNNNNNNNNNNNNNNNNNNNNNNNNNNNNNNNNNNNNNNNNNNNNNNNNNNNNNNNNNNNNNNNNNNNNNNNNNNNNNNNNNNNNNNNNNNNNNNNNNNNNNNNNNNNNNNNNNNNNNNNNNNNNNNNNNNNNNNNNNNNNNNNNNNNNNNNNNNNNNNNNNNNNNNNNNNNNNNNNNNNNNNNNNNNNNNNNNNNNNNNNNNNNNNNNNNNNNNNNNNNNNNNNNNNNNNNNNNNNNNNNNNNNNNNNNNNNNNNNNNNNNNNNNNNNNNNNNNNNNNNNNNNNNNNNNNNNNNNNNNNNNNNNNNNNNNNNNNNNNNNNNNNNNNNNNNNCGGUCUGGGGCGACCGGACGGCAGCGGUCUGGCGGUCGGAAUUCCGGACAGCGGGAGGGCUCGGGUGCGGGAGCGGGAGAGGAGAGAGAAUCGGGAGGAAAAGAGAGGAAAAGAGAAUGGGUUUGGGCCUCACACCCCAAACCGGUCCAUCACUUAUAUACUACCCAAUUCUAAAAUUAAAUACCCCGAAAAAUAAUACCCGAAUAAAAUUACCUUUUACUAGCUAAAAUUUACUAUUUUUACCGUCGUCGUAUUUUCCUCUUACGAAUAAUCCUCAGCACAAUAAUCGUCCCGGAAACCCCUCUAGGGACCAAUUAAGCUAUUAACUCAAUGAUCGAGACGGUAAAAUUCUUAUUAUAAUCACGCUAGUAAAUAAGGUAAUUUUAUAAGGGUCGGGAUGUGACAAUUCUCCCCUCGUUAUAAAAAUUUCGUCCUCGAAAUUAACAUACAUGUCAUCCGAAGAGAUAGGGAUACUGCUGCAUCAUUUGCUCCUCUGAUUCCCAAGUAGCUUCUUCUACUUGAUGACUUCUCCAAAGCACCUUGACAAGCGGGAUUGUCUUGUUCCUAAGCACUUGCUCCUUUCAGUCGAGAAUCUGAACCGGCUCCUCUUCGUAGGACAAAUCUCUCGUCAAACUAAUCGGCUGCUCUUGCAGCACAUGAGAAGGAUCGGCAAUAUACUUGCGAAGCAUGGAUACAUGAAACACAUUAUGUAUCCUAGCUAACUCUGGAGGCAAGGCUAAUCGAUAAGCAAGUGAGCCAACUCGUUCUAUAAUCUCAUAAGGGCCAAUAUACCUCGGGCUAAGCUUCCCACGCUUCCCGAAGCGCACAACCCCUUUCCAAGGAGAUAAUUUCAGGAACACCCAAUCCCCCACUUGAAAUUCAAGAUCUCUCCUACGGACAUCCGCAUAACUCUUCUGCCUACUCUAAGCAGUCUUGAGUCUAUCUCUAACCACUUUAAUCUUCUCAUUCGUAACAUGGAUUAACUCUGGGCCACAAAGCUCUUUUUCCCCUACUUCAUUCCAACACAAAGGCGUGCGACACUGCCUCCCAUAAAGAGCCUCAAAGGGAGCCAUACCAAUGCUAGAAUGAAAGCUAUUAUUAUAGGCAAAUUCCAUCAAAGAUAGAUUUUUAUCCCAACUCCCUCUGAACUGCAUGGCACAAGCCCUCAACAUAUCCUCCAAAGUCUGAAUAGUCCUCUCGGACUGCCCAUCAGUCUGAGGAUGAAAAGCAGUACUGAAGAGUAAUUGGGUACCUAAAGCUGCCUGAAGAGCUCCCCAGAAUUUAGAAGCAAAACGAGGAUCCCGAUCUGACACUAUUGAUUCAGGAACACCAUGAAGCCUCAUAAUUUCAUUCACAUAAAGCUCCGCCAAUUUAUCAAAUUUAUACUUCUUUCCCACUGGCAAGAAAUGUGCAGACUUGGUGAGUCUAUCCACAAUCACCCAAAUACCGUCAUGCCCUUCACGGGUACGAGGUAAACUAAAAACAAAAUCCAUGGUGAUGUGGUCCCACUUCCACACUGGAAUAGGCAACAGCUCAAGCAACCUAGAAGGCUUCUGCCUUUCAGCCUUGACUUGCUGACAAAUCAGACAUCUACUCACAUAAGCUGCAAUUUCCCUCUUCAUGUUUGGCCACCAAUAAUAAUCCUUCAAAAUCCGAUACAUUUUUGUGCUACCCGGAUGAGCAGCAUAUGCAGAGCUAUGAGCUUCCUCCAUAAUCUCACUCUUCAACUCUUCAUUUCUUUUUGGAACACAUAGCCGGUUCUUAAAUAAUAGAGUCCUAUCUCUUCUAACUGAAAAAUGAUCGGCUGCGGCUCCAUUCGAAGCUCUUUCCAUCAAUCGAACUAUGGAAUGAUCAUUAGACUGUGCUUCUCGCACUCUAUCAACCAAAACUGGCCUCACAUGAAAACUGGCUAUCAAAGCACCAACCUCAUCCACUGAUAAAUCCACUCCUGUAGCUCGCAACUCACAAAGAAGCGGAACUCGAACCAUCUUUAUAUGAGAUAAAGAUAUGGAGGGAUUUCGACUAAGAGCAUCAGCUACCACAUUAGCUUUUCCAGGAUGAUACUCAAUAGUGCAAUCAUAAUCAUUGAUUAACUCCAUUCACCUUCUCUGUCUCAUAUUAAGCUCUCUUUGAGUGAACACGUACCGAAGACUCUUGUGAUCGGUAAAUAUCUGACACUUGGCUCCAUAAAGAUAGUGUCUCCACAACUUGAGAGCAAAAACUACCGCUGCAAGCUCCAGAUCAUGAGUAGGAUAAUUCCCCUCAUGCGGCUUCAAUUGCCUAGAAGCGUAGGCAAUAACUCGAUCAUGCUGCAUCAAAACUCCACCUAGACCCUGUCUAGAAGCAUCACAAUAGACCACAUAUUCUCCACUCUCAUCCGGAAGUGCCAAAACAGGAGCACUUGUCAAGAAAUUCUUCAAUUCUUGAAAGCUUUGCUCGCACUGAUCUGACCAUUCAAACUUAACCCCCUUCCUGGUCAACAUUGUGAGAGGAGCAGCAAUCUUUGAAAAAUCUUUUACAAAGCGCCGAUAAUAACCUGCUAAUCCCAAGAAACUACGAAUCUCCGUCACAGUGGUGGGUCUUCUCCAAUUCGACACUGCUUCCACCUUUUGGGGAUCCACACUAACUCCUUCUGUCGAAAUCACAUGACCCAAAAACCCUACUUUAUCUAGCCAAAACUCACACUUGCUAAACUUAGCAAAUAACUGCGACUUUUCCAAAGUCCGCAAUAUUAUUCUUAGAUGCUUGGCAUGCUCCUUCUCACUUCUUAAGUAAACCAAUAUGUCAUCUAUGAAUACGAUCACGAAACGAUCAAGGUAUGGACUAAACACCCUAUUCAUGAGAUCCAUGAACGCCGCGGGUGCAUUAGUAAGUCCAAAUGGCAUCACCACAAACUCAUAAUGACCAUAUCGUGACCGAAAAGCAGUCUUGGCUAUGUCCCCUCUCGGAUCCGCAACUGAUGAUAACCCGAUCUCAAAUCAAUCUUAGAGAAAACAGAGGCACCCCUCAACUGAUCAAAUAAAUCAUCGAUCCGAGGCAACGGAUAUUUAUUCUUCACUGUGACCUGAUUCAACUUCCUAUAAUCAAUGCAUAGUCUCAUGGUGCCAUCUUUCUUCUUAACAAACAACACCGGAGCACCCCACGGAGACAUGCUAGGCCGAAUAAAACCCUUAUCUACCAACUCCUGCAAUUGAGUCUUCAACUCUUUCAAUUCCGCUGGAGCCAUUCUGUAAGGCGCCUGAGAGAUAGGCAUAGUUCCGGGAAGUAAUUCUAUAGAGAAGUCUAUCUCCCUUGCAGGAGGCAAACCAGGCAACUCCUCAGGAAAAACAUCCGGAAACUCUCUUACUACAGGAAUAUCUUCUAAUCCCACAACUCCCAUACUUGUAUCCACCACAUGAGCUAAAAAUGCCUGACAGCCUUUACUCAACAAUUUCCUUGCAGCAACAGCGGAAAUUAUGCAACUAAAAAUAACAUUUCUUUCCCCUUGGAAAGCAACCUCAAAACCAUCUGGACUUCGAAGCACCACUACUUUUGAAAACAAUCCACCAUAGCUCUAUAUGCUUACCAAAAAGUCCAUUCCCAAGAUCACAUCAAACUCCACUAUAUCUAAAGGAAUUAAAUCAGCCUCGAAAUUAACUCCUUCCACUAAAACUUCACAGCCACUAAAUACCCAAUUUAUUCUCAUCACCUCACCGGAGGGUAGAGACACAUGCCACUCGCCUGUAAGAGACGAUGAUGGCACAUUGGCAUGGAGGGCGAAUCGACUAGACAUGAAUGAAUGCGUGGCUCCGGGAUCAAUUAAAGUAAAAGCAGGCUGACCAAAAAUUAAUAACGUACCAAUGAUGACAUCUGGAGAAGUACGACCCUCCUGCUGGGUCAUAGCAUGCAGUCUAGCGCGAGUCAUGAGAAGUCCACGCUGACCACUUCCCCUCUGAGAGCCACCUCUGACCGAAGCACUGCCCUGGGCACCACUACUAGAGCCUCCAGCUGAAGACUGUCCAACAGGCUGAGUAGGGGUGGGGGUGGUCCUCUAAGCCAACAAUGGGCAAUCUCUCCUGAAGUGGUCCUGACCACCACACUCAAAGCACCCAGAAAACUGCUGCUGUUGCCCAUAUGAAAAAGUCUGGCUACCAGAUGACCCACCAUGGAAACUGCCACCCGAACCAUACUGCCCAGACUGCUGCCUACCCAACUGACUCCUAGCAGGUCUCCUGUGACGUCCUCUAACCCUGAACCGAGAAUUAGAACCUGAUCCCCCACUACUGCCACUACCAGUUGAUGAACCUGAAGCGGAUGAUGAAGCAGCUUUCUUGGAUGGACCCUGACUGGGGCCACCAAAAUCUCGUGGCCGAGCACUAUAAAUCCCCAUAGACUCAAUGGCCAUGGCUGCAUGAACAGCAUCAGAGAAAGUCGGGUAAUAAACACCCGUCAUCUUAUCUGCAAACACUCCACCAAGAGCCCCAAUGAACAUCUCCAUCCUGGUCCUCUCAUCAGGAACCAGAUAUGACACAUGAUAGCUCAGGGAAGUGAAUCUCUCUUGGAACUCUAUAACACCCUCAUCAUCCCUCUUCUUCAUAUUCAGGAAAUCCGACUGAAUUCUGCUGCGGUGGGCAGGACUGAAAUACUGCCCCAAGAAAAGCGUCUUAAACUGCUCCCACGACAUAUUCAGAGCAUCCUCAACAUUCCUGCUAGCGAGCGACCACCAAUGAUGUGCUGAAUCAUCCAGGAAAGUCACUGCCAUCUUCACCUUCCUUUCUUCUGGCAAAUCUAUGCUCGCAAAAGCCUUUUCCAUUUUGUCCACCCAAGUAUAAGCAUCAAGGGGUCCCUUGGCACCCUUGAACUCUCUUGCUCCAGCCUCAUGAACUUCUCUCCUUUUCACCGUAUGAGGUUGUGGAGCUCGAUCCAUGACAUCCCUUAACAUAUUCCCAAUAUCAUCAACUAGUCCCCUGACCUCAUUGCCCUCAUCGGCAUUGGUCGAAGUAGCCACACGGGGUUGCCGUGGGCGCCUAGGAGGCAUAGUACCUGAGGAAGAAGAAAUUUAGUAGUCCAUAAACAAGACUAACACAACAAUCACAUAUACCCAAAUAACACGUAGCAUCAAAAGCAUAAAAUGCCAAUGAAUCCGCCGCGGUCGGAUUAUCACUCUAUAGACACUAUGUGCUACUUAGGCAAAUAUGAUAAUGACAAGGAAGCAAGAAAAGGAAACCUAUAGCUCUGAUACCAACUGACACGACCCACCCCGAAUUUCACCCUGAAACCCGGAGUAAGUCGUGCGGGGACCACCUCCAAGGAAAAUUUACUGAAAAGAUUGAGAAAAUCUCCCUUGCAGAUGGACAACCCUAACUCGAAAAUUCCAAAUUUCACUCUUAAUUCAACACUUCCAAACAUCACAUAAUUAUCCUUCAGAAAUUCUACACAUAAUAUACAAUAAUCCCAAAGUAUUCAGAGCUACUAAACACUAGCGGAAGCAAGAAAACACGAGUAGGUUAAACAUGUAACCUAUUGAUGAAAACUGGCGGAAAUGCGGGUGACUAUGCCUCGUCUCCUACUAGAUCCAACCCGAACUCUGCAGACUGGGCAAUUUAAAACGAAGGGCCCAGGGGAAAACAUUUAAUAACGUUAGAGUGAGUGGACAAAAAUAAAAUAAUAAAUAAAAUAUUUAUGUUUCCCCAAAUUAAUUUCUAAGGAAAAAUCGAAUGCAUGCCGCAAGCGAUAAAACUUUUAUCUCAUAAAAUAUCGAGCCUCUCAGACUCUAUAAUAUAUGUAUGUAUUUACACUCGUCCAUACUCCUUAUAUAAAUUCAUGGGUCUAUAUAGGGCUACUACGCUCGCGUCCAACGCUCACGUCACGCCUUAAUACGGUGCUACACUACGCCAUCAAGGUGGACAGACGGGUGUAUAAAUAUGUGUCCAUAUCCCCUAUAUGAAUUAAACACUCAAAUAGGGCUACUACGCUUACGUCCAACGCUCACGUCACACCAUAAUGCGGCUAUAUGCUGCGCCAUUAAGGUGGACAGACACAUAUGGCUAGCUAGCAAUUUCUAUACAUACUCUCUCAUAAAUACAUAUUUAUAUCCACCGAAAAUCCCAUUUUCGGUAUCUCUCCAAGAGAAAUAAAAAUCGUCAAAAAUUAAAAUGACGUCAAAAUGCUCCACGACAUUAAUUGUUCAUUCAUGAACCAUAGCAUGCAUAUUAUUUAAACAAAAGUCCACUCACAAAUUAGGCCUAAGCCUGAUGUCGAUCUAGGGCCUCGUCUGCUCGAGCCUCCUCACGUCCUGUUCCAAAUAUAAUAUUAAUUUCCCAACCAAUAAUCCAAUAUUUAAUCAAAAUAGGCAAAAUUAACCGAGAGCCAUAAAUACGCUCAUCAUUGCCUAACUUCGAUAUUCUUAAAUCGGAACGAUCCGAACUUAAAUAUCAUAUUCAUCAGUCGUAAAUACAACCUCCCCAAAAUACGACUUAAAUCCUACGGCCGGAUUCUACAUUAAUUAACCGCCAAAAAUACCAAACUUCAGAAAUUCACAAACGUAUCCAAAUCUCAUCCAAAAAUUCCAUAAAUCACACCAAUAUACUCCUCUUAAUAUUCCACAUUUAAAACCCUAAAAAUCUCCUAACCGGCGGCGGCUCCGCCGGCAGCGGCGGCCGGAGGCCAAUUCCGGCGACCUCCAAAACCUAUGAAAUUUUGAUAGAAUAAUCUCCUCAUCAUGCUCUACAACUUUCAUGACCAACACAUCACCCAAUUCCAAGCCUAACUAGGCUAAUCGAACGAAAACAACUUAAAAGCCCUAAAAAUUUCAACUCCACAUUUCUCCUUACCUAGCUCAAGAGGGAGUGAGCUGAUUGGAGGAGGGCUACAAAACCGUACCAAGCUUGCCCGGAUUGGUGGCCGGAGGAGGGAGUUCCGGCGACCGGAAGUUCGGGGCAGCCUAACCUUUCGGGCGGCACCGCUCUCUCACGGCGGCGCUAGGGGGGCUGUCACCGGUCCUGGAAGAUAGCUGGGUCGGAGACCGAUCGAUUGGGACCGGUGCGGCGGUCUGGGGCGGCCGGACGGCGGCGGUCUGGCGGUCGGAAUUCCGGACAGCGGGAGGGCUCGGGUGCGGGAGCGGGAGAGGAGAGAGAAUCGGGAGGAAAAGACCGGAAAAGAGAAUGGGUUUGGGCCUCACACCCCAAACCGGUCCAUCACCUAUAUACUACCCAAUUCUAAAAUUAAAUACCCCGAAAAAUAAUACCCGAAUAAAAUUACCUUUUACUAGCUAAAAUUUACUAUUUUUACCGUCGUCGUAUUUUCCUCUUACGAAUAAUCCUCAGCACAAUAAUCGUCCCGGAAACCCCUCUAGGGACCAAUUAAGCUAUUAACUCAAUGAUCGAGACGGUAAAAUUCUUAUUAUAAUCACGCUAGUAAAUAAGGUAAUUUUAUAAGGGUCGGGAUGUGACAUCGUUGGUGUUAGGUCAGUCGGCGUCGGAAAAGUUGAAGAGAGAGAGAGCUAGGUGAGAAAUAGAAAUAAGAGACGAGAGAGAUGAGUGAAAGAGAGAGAAAGAGAGAAGAGUAAAAGAUGAAAUUUGUGUGGUUGUAUAUAGAUUAGGGGUAAAUUUGAAAUUUCAUUGCAAAUCAUUAGAAUGGGCUAUACUAACCUUUUUUUUAUUGAGUUAGGCAUUGUUUUCGUUGUUUUUGGACAUAUGGGCAUUUUCCCUAAUUUGUAUAUAUGGGCACAGAUGGACCGAAAAUUCAAGACGUAAGACGAAUGUAGCCUAAUUAAUCAAAACAAAAAUAUAGCAUGCAAUGGUAAGAUACUAAGAAUCUAGAUAUAUAGAUUAAGUUAAUAAGUAAGCUCUGAGUUAUAUAGUAGGAAAAAGCAUUCAUAUAUAUAUAUAUAUAUAUCCUAAAAAUUUAUUGUAAUAUAUAUUUACUAACCCAAAUUUAGGUUGAUUCUGAAAAUUAAACCCCACAAUCCCUAAUUUCAUAGUGUUGAAGGAUUAAGUUUACUUUAUUGGAUAGGGUUUUUGAGAACUUUAGUUGUGCGGUGUCGAUCUCAAUGGCAGCCUCAGUUGCAGCGAUGAUUGCUAGCCUAGCGUCAAAACUUUCUCUUAGCAAGCAUGAUGAACCUAUGGAUCUCGACGACCUCAAAUGUCCAUCGAAGGGGUUUGUUGCUCCAUGUUUUUACCUAGUAAAGCAUCUUAACACCACCAAAGCAAUGCUCUUUAAUCUAUUCCGCAAUGCUGUCCGCACUAUGUGGCAGUUAUUGACUCCAGUGGAGGUCCAAGCAAGAGGAGAUCGGUUUCUCUUCACGUUCACUAACGAGAGAGAUGUGACUCGGGUAAAAAGAGGAGGACAUUGGUGUUUCCAGCAUACGUACGAUGCUCUUGUUGAACGACUAUGAUGGUUUUUCUGACAUCAUGGUCGUGUCGCUGAACUUCAUAUGGAUUUGGGUUGAAAUCCAAGAUCUCCUUAUUGUGCUCACGACGACGGCUACUGCUUGACUGGUGGGAGAGACGAUUGGACUUAUGUUGAAGAUUGAUGAACAUGGAAUAAGCCGAGGUACCGUGCAUGUUAGGGUUUCUCUGCCAUUGAAUGAUCUCAUGCUGCUGGAAAGGAGGCUUAGGGUUUCUCCAACUGAUGUCAUUAAAUCAAAUCUGUUCACGUAUGAACGACUUCUUGAAAGGUGUAGAGCUUGUAUGAUGAUUAACCAUGUGGGGCUUCGCUGCCCUAGACCUAUGGAAGCUGAUCCAGUGCAGGUUCCUCCGCCAACAACGCCGCCGAUGGUGUUUAGGGUCGUUGUGUCCAACCAAACCACCUUCUUUGUUCCGGUGGUGGCUCUACCUAAGGAGAAGAGAGUGAUAUCAAUCAGGGAUGUUCCUGAUUUUCCAUCACCUACCAAGAUAACUGGGGUGAGGAAAUGAAGGGAGGAUAACGAUUCUAGAGAGGGGAGAAGAAUGAAGCAUUCCUUGGCUAUGGUUCCUACAACUUUGAAUCCAAAAGAGAUGGGUUUUUCUGUGUCUGAUGUAAGGGUUCUUGGAAUCAAGAGAACUAGAAAUCCCCUCAGAAGAGAGGACGUCCUCGUGGCAGUCGAAACAAGAAGACUCUGUUGCUUGGUAAAGCUUCUAUUGGUUCAGAUUCAAUGGCCCCUAGUUCGUCAGGUUCUGGGAGGAUCAAUGGUGGUAGCCUCGGCUUCGAGGCUGAGGAGGAGUAGUAUUCCUAGUGAGACUAGGAAAGACCCCUUUCAAACCCUAGCGACUACUCUCUCUCUUCUCAUCGAUGAAAGGUACACCGUUGUGAGGUCUUAGGCCUGAUUUGUUGACAGUAGAGUAGUCAAUAGGUUUUGGAAGAUUAUUUUGCUUUCUAGUGAUUCAUAUAUAUCCACCUUUUUGGAGGUUGUUAUUUCAAUUCAUAUACUAGUUUGAUUUAGCUUUGCUAUGUUGCUUGUAUGGUCUUCGGCCUAUUCAUGCUUGACAUAUUGGUCGUCAUGAUCUUUGAUCAAUGGAUGUAUCUCCUUCCCCUAAAAAAAGGUUUACUUUAUUGGAUUUUAUUAUAAAGUUUAAUUUUCUCAAAAGAAGGAUUAAGUUAUGGACUUUAGUUUUCUUAAAAAAAAAGUUAUGGACUUUAGUUAAUUUUUUUUAUCUGGUAAAUAACUAACUACAACCGGUUUUUUGUGAGUCGAACUCACUGGUUUCUCAAGAUUAUACCGCUAGACUAAAUGGUAUUAGGAUUUUAAACUUUAGUUUUAAAUUAUUCACAAAUUAAAAAUAACACUCAAUCAAAAAAUAAAAAUAAUAAUAACAUAUGCACUGUAACAAAUAACCCACUAGUAUGCAAAAAAUGUGGCCAUUACCGGCUCUCUCAUCAGCUUUGUGGUUAAGGUUUUUGCCUUUCACUUGAGUUAGCGGUCGAGGCUUAAAAGCUGGUAUGAUGGUGGUGGAGGCUAGGUGGUGGUACGAUGGUGGGGUGAUCUGGUUGUGGACUUUGUUUGUUCCUCAAACCUAAACCCAAAACCAAAAAGCAAAUGCAACUGAGAAAGGAUGACAUAAUUGGUCAAUGAUAGGAUAGACCAAAUGUAUAGUGAAUGCUAAGUCUGGGAAAUACACGUUUGACAACAAUUAAAAUGAAAGGUUAUUGUUGAACUUCUAAAUUUGGAUUCUUCUGAAGCUCGUCUUCGAUUAUGCCUCCUUGCUUCCUUUGCUUGCUUGAUUUUGUUGUUGUUGUUGUUGUGUCCCCAGCUUAUUUGUAGGGGUUUGGAUUUACUCCUCCUAGAUACGGCAACACUUUCGUCCACUUAUCCAAUUCGUGCAAUAUUCCUAUCUGAUUUUAGUCUCCUUCUCGACCGUCUCAAAUGUCAUCUCCCCUGCCGCCUCGGGUUGGCGUUGACCUUCUUACGACCCACCUUCCUUAUUCAUUGCAUAUCUAGCUGUUCAAAGCUAAGGUAGCUUUGGUGUUGCUUCAACCUACCUUUGUUGCUUGGUAUGUUGGUUCAGCCUAUGUUUUUCUUCUCAUUGCAGGUCCCUCUUUCGGUUGCUCAUCGCCGACAACGAUGGGAGGAAGCACUUCACAUGGGUUGCUAUCGGGUUAACUGUGUUUAGGCUUCUCCGUGAUACAAGCUCCAAUUUUAGGCUGCUUUGUUUGGUCGUCUAGGCUGUGCUGCAAGCCGAAUUUAGAUUGGGCUCGUUUUUUAGUCUUUUGGCAUAUGUUGUUUCAAAUUCAGGAGUUCAAGUGGAAUGAUCACUUAUGAACCCAAAUUGCGACUUGUCUUGAUUCGGAGAUACAUCUUUGUUGUGGUCAUUUUCAUUUUUGUUUUGUUUAUGUAUUUGCGUCUAUUUGUUCUUUUUGGUAUAGACUUUCAGUCUGACAGUUAGGUACACUGUAUCUGCUGCUCUUUGAACUGCAUUUUUUGCAUCAAUUUCUCUGUAUGAAGUUACUAGUUGAUUAAAAACUAAAAGCACCAAAGUUUUUUUGUUAAAUAUAAGGAAAAAUGGUCACUGACUUUUGACCCAUUAAUCACUUUACUCACUCACAUUUUAAAAAUAUCAUUUAACUCACUCACUUUUGAUUCCGACGUCUCUCACAAAUAGUCACAUUUCAAAAAUAAGUCAGUGAUCAUUUGUGAUAUUUUGCCUAAAUAUAAAGCGACAUUGUUUUGAAAACCUGUCGUCUCAAAUUGAGUAAUAAACAAGCAUGUACCAAUGAGCAUCUCUAGUAGUAACAUUAAAUUUUUUUUGCUAAAUUUGUCAAUAUUUAGAUUUAAAAUAGCAAUAUUUAAACUUUUGCUCUAGUAGUAUUGCUAAAUUGUAUACAUUAGCUAAGUUUUAGUUAAUUUUAUUAAUUUUAUCUAUCAAUUCCUAAAUUUAGUAACUACUUAAGUAUCUACUGGAGCACGAUUUUAGCUUAAAAAUUAAUGAAUUUCUACUUCUUUUUUUUUUGAAUUAACAACUCUGCUGAAGAUGCUAAACAAAAUGAUAGUGAAGAUGAAUUUCUGUAUAUUGCAAUAAUCUUAUCUGUACAAGCUAGCUGAUACAUAUAGGUGCAUACAAACCUAUUCUAGGAAAUAACAAAUAUUAUGAUGCUACAAUCACUCAACAUAAUUACUGAUUGAUUGUCUAUUGAUACAUAAUCCACAAUUAUUUCUAUCACAUAUUCCAAAAUUAAUGCAGAAUACCUUCACUGAUUUUCUUUCCUUCAAUACUUACCUCCUUGCUCCUUUUCCACCAAACGGCAUUCGAAUUUCAAAACGAAAGCUCUGUUGUGUUCUUCUCUCCUCCGCCAGGUGAAUCCUCAACCUCUCAUUUUAUAUUUCACUCUUUCAAACCAAUCUCUCUGAUUGUCAUGAUGAUGAUUCCGUUUCUCUGUUGCGAUUUGGCGUGAAUGGAAGCUCAGGCCUUUCGAAAUUGCUUCAGCUCUGGUGCUUCUACUGCAUCUAGAGGUCCCUCUUUUCUUCCUCGCUAUGUCAUUUUUGCAUUGCCUUUGAUUGUGGAAAGUUUGAAGAAAUUUGGUACUGGAGUUAACUUUUGGAUUUUGAAUUUUCUGAAGUGGGUUUUGAUUUUUGCUCAAAUGUUAGACAUAUUGAUUGGUGUUGAUCGAGUAUUGACUUGAGACUUUCAUGUUUUUCUCUUCAUACUCAUAACUAUGCCUAUUUUAUUUAUUUGUUCAUCUCAUUCUAUUGAUGCAUUAUGCCUUAAGACUUUUUAUUGUUGUCCUCAUGCAAGCAACGCAUUGCUGUUUUUGGUUCAAUGAUUCCUGUUGUCUUGGCAUUGGUGUUGGUGUGGCUUGUUUGAUAUUGGGUUCACUCAAAGCACGUAGUUGAGUGGCUUUUCAUAAUAGGAACUGAUUUUUUUUGGAAAAUUUUUGGCAAUUUUUUUUGGAAAAUUUGUAUUGAUUUUAAUCAGGUGCAGUCUGAGACACGAUUGUGUGAUUAUGUAUGUGUCUUUUCUCUUGGUUUAGAUUACACUAACAUCUCUUUUCAUGAUUAAUCUCAAAAUUAUCAUUAGUGCUAGAGAGUGUGGAUUCAGUUCAAGCUUUAUUCAUCAAUCAAUUGUUCAAUUGUAACCUUAUUGUUAACUUCUUGACUCACCUUUUCUGGAAAGAAUCAGUAUAUGAUGUAUAUCCCUCAAAACCAGACCGGCUCUGUUGUAUAUCAUUUUUCUGUCUUAUCUUUUCUAGCUUUGCAGCUCUUUUGAUAUAUUUAUUAUUCUGGUAUAAAAUAUUAUGAGGAAUGUCAUGAGAGGAUCAAAGGAAAAUUUUAUCGAACAGAUUCUAUUCAUAGACUAAAUUUCCAGUUUAGUCUUGAAUAGAGUUAAAAUUAAAUUAAUUAGGAGCUUUAUGUUGUCAAGAACAUUGUGCAUUCUAUAGGCUCAAAAUAUGACCCAUUUGAUCGGUAUUUUUAGCACAAAAUGCAAACAAGUUUAGGGGUGUUGGUCCCGGUGCAGCAAAGUGGUGAUCUGAAGUGGUACAGUGACCUUGACGUCAAGAUUUUGUCCUGCUUGGCUCCUUGAGACUCUGGUAUUCGUAGCAUGCCACUCUGCUAGCUGGUUUGAGAUUUUUAUAUCACAGAUGUAGUAGUCAUCUAGUUUUUCAAAGAGAUAGCAUGCAUCAAGUCCAGCAGCAUAGAGGGCCAUAGGAUACCUUUGUGUUGCAUAGUUGCUAAUCGUCUCUAGUCACACCCAUCAACUUAUGAAUUCCUUAUUGUAAAAGAAAUGUAGAGUAUCUCAUAACUCUUCAGGUAUUCUAAUCCUUAAGAAUAGGGUUUGAUAAGGACCCAAGGAUACUAGGGUUUGAUUUGUGUAUAGAUAAUUGAAGCCGUAGCCUUCCCAAACUCAAUUGGGGAUUGAAGAUUCAUUGUUAUUAUUGGUGUUGAUCAAGUAUUGACUUAAGUAUUUGAAGAAUGAUGCCAAAUCUAAAUCCAGAAACCGGAUUUACGUGUUCUUACAUCACAAAAACCAAACACAGCUGUUACUGCAGAUUUAAAGUAGUUUGUAAAAUGUACAUGGAGUUAAUUAACUAUGCAGGAGUUGUCCACUGAGCGUCUCAACUCAGACGAAACGAACUUCGCAGAGGUAUAGGCUUCUCAGAGGUACUCUUUCCCCUCUUUUUAGUCUCUUUCUACAAAUCCCUCCUUCCCUUUAGUAUCUGCACUGUGAUAACAGAAUAGCUUGAUAAUGGUUUUAACAAAAAUGAUCCUUUUGCUAUCUUUUCUUUUUUAUUUCUUUUAAUUUUAUUGUUAACUUGAUGUGUCCUGUGUCCUAGAGUGUCUGUUUGAUACUUGGUGAUGUUCUAAAAUAAAUACUACUCCUGUUAGGUGUCUCAUCUACUUUAGCUGCAAGAGGCAGGUUUUGGAAGUUGAACGUAUAAACGUAUUAAGAAAUACAUAGCAAAUUAGAAAAUAUACUUCUGCUCUUCUGUAAAUACUGCUCUGCUUACUGAUUAUGUGGUCUUGCUGUUAUGUGAGUGCAUUUUAUUUUGAUAUAAAAAUUUCACUCUGAAUGCAUGGAAGAGUGAUGUGUUUCUGAAUUGGCAAAUGGAAAUUGAUCCCAAAAGAGGAGUAUACGCCCAUGAUAAGGGAUAACUAUUCGUGUUGAGCUUGGAUUCUUUUCCUCCUCAGCGUGUAUGAAGUCUUGGUGAUCAGUUUAGAAGUUGGUUUUAGAAUGUCCUGUUUUAGGAAAAACUAUAUAUUUCAUCAGAAUGAGCGAGCUCCUUUUAUAGGAGAUUACAGAUAACAAGAUUACAUGAAUCUCUCCUUAUUUUUUGGUACAUGCCACCACAAACCAUAACAAUACUGACUAAGUCAACAACUGACUAGAUAAACAUCUGACUGAGUAAAUAUCUACUUUACAGGAACAAUAAUAUUCUAAUUAUCCUAUAACACUCCCCCUUGUUCCGUAUAGAGUAGAUGUUGCUUUCUUGAUGCUUCUGUAAUACCUCCUUAGAAUCCUUGUCAAGUUAAAACCAUGGCAAGAGAGAAAAAAAAAAUGACCUCGAACAAGUAAAAGAGCGCAGAUCGUCGUAGACGAUAAUAUGACACUUAUCUAGGUUGCCUCGUUAAAAACCUUAACCAAGUAAUAAAACCCUUUGGGAUAAAACAACCUUGGUCAAGGAAAAAAAGAGUACAACGUGUCCUUCACAUUUAGAAACUUUCAUGUGUAUGUCAAACUCCCCCUGAAGUCUACAUCUCCCUCUGAUUCCAGCAAUCAGGUUAGCUUAGAUAAGCUGAGCAAUCCUAUACUUUUCACAUGCUUCUCAAAUGUGGAUUUGGCUAGUGACUUAGUAAAUAAGUCUGCCACAUAAGAUCGAACUUGAUUCACUUGGAUCUUGAGAAACUGUUGUUGUUGCUGAUUAUAGAAAAAUUUGGGCGAAAUAUGCUUGGUGUUGUCGCCUUUGAUGUAACCUAGCUUCAUCUGCCCAAUGCAUGCAGCAUUAUCCUCAUAAAUGCAUGUAGGUUCAUCUGUGGUUGAUUCUAGACCACUUGAUCUUCGAAUAUGUGCAAUUAUGGCUCUCAACCAUAUGCAUUCCUUAACAGCUUUAUGUAGAGCAAUAAUCUCAGCAUGAUUCGAAGAUGUAGCAACGAGAGUCUGUUUUGUAGACCUCCAAGAUAUCGCAGUGUUUCCCAUGAUAAAGACAUAACCGGUCUGGGAAAGACCUUUGUGCGGGUCAGAAAGAUACCCAGCAUCAGCAAAACCAACCAACACAUCACAUGGAUUGUUGGUGUAAGGGGUGAAGGAACAAGUGGCGGCACCCUCACUGGUGGAGUCUUUGCUUCCUACAAUGAAAGCCUUUCUUCUUGCCUCUCUGUAGGGAUAGAACAAGCCCAUAUCUAUCGUACCCUUUAAGUACCGGAAGAUUGUCUUUAUGCCAGUCCAAUGGCGUUGCGUGGGCGCUGAGCUAAAUCUAGCUAACAAGUUUACAACAAAUGAGAUGUUCGGUCUUGUGCAUUGAGCUAAAUACAGUAAUGCACCUACUGCACUUAGGUAAGGCACUUCAGCCCCCAAGACUUCUUCGUCCUCAUCCUUUGGACGAAAUGGAUCCUUUUGGGAUCUAGGCUGCGGACGAUCAUGNNNNNNNNNNNNNNNNNNNNNNNNNNNNNNNNNNNNNNNNNNNNNNNNNNNNNNNNNNNNNNNNNNNNNNNNNNNNNNNNNNNNNNNNNNNNNNNNNNNNNNNNNNNNNNNNNNNNNNNNNNNNNNNNNNNNNNNNNNNNNNNNNNNNNNNNNNNNNNNNNNNNNNNNNNNNNNNNNNNNNNNNNNNNNNNNNNNNNNNNNNNNNNNNNNNNNNNNNNNNNNNNNNNNNNNNNNNNNNNNNNNNNNNNNNNNNNNNNNNNNNNNNNNNNNNNNNNNNNNNNNNNNNNNNNNNNNNNNNNNNNNNNNNNNNNNNNNNNNNNNNNNNNNNNNNNNNNNNNNNNNNNNNNNNNNNNNNNNNNNNNNNNNNNNNNNNNNNNNNNNNNNNNNNNNNNNNNNNNNNNNNNNNNNNNNNNNNNNNNNNNNNNNNNNNNNNNNNNNNNNNNNNNNNNNNNNNNNNNNNNNNNNNNNNNNNNNNNNNNNNNNNNNNNNNNNNNNNNNNNNNNNNNNNNNNNNNNNNNNNNNNNNNNNNNNNNNNNNNNNNNNNNNNNNNNNNNNNNNNNNNNNNNNNNNNNNNNNNNNNNNNNNNNNNNNNNNNNNNNNNNNNNNNNNNNNNNNNNNNNNNNNNNNNNNNNNNNNNNNNNNNNNNNNNNNNNNNNNNNNNNNNNNNNNNNNNNNNNNNNNNNNNNNNNNNNNNNNNNNNNNNNNNNNNNNNNNNNNNNNNNNNNNNNNNNNNNNNNNNNNNNNAAAAAAAAAUAACUCACGUUAGAGCUUCGUGCUGAUAACGUGUUUUAGGAAAAACUGUAUAUUUCAUCAGAAUGAGUGAGCUUUUUUUAUAGGUGAUUACAGAUAACAAGAUUACAUGAAUCUCUCCUUAUUUUGUGGUACAUGCCACCACAAACCAUAACAAUACUGAUUAAGUCAACAACUGACUAGAUAAACAUCUGACUGAGUAAAUAUCUACUAUACAGGAACAAUAAUAUUCUAAUUAUCCUAUAACAUGUCCUUUUUUUUAGCCCAUGUAUUGGUUUUGUUUCCAUACUCACUGUUAGUAAGUCGUUGACAUAAUUUAGGAGCUGUUCAAAGUUAUAGACAAGAAUUUCGAUAUGAAACUUUGUCAGUAUUCAACUUUGAAAAUUUUAGAUACUUCUGACGGUCUGAGAAUUGCUUGAAAACAAUGAUUUGACAGCGAAAAUAUGAACAUGCAAUUCUGGAUUGAUUUUUAGGUCCAUGAUCCACAGAACAGGAUUUUUUCUUUGUUUUUUCUUUCCGGUAAAAGUUACGGAAUCCAUUUCGUGGAGUUGAAAGAUGUAUACAAGUUGAUUAGAUGAUCCAUACCUCAUAGAGAUGACUUCUGAACCCAAAGGAGGUGAGUUUUGUUACACUAGAUAAGAUGCUCUCAAUAGUGAAGACUGAAGACUGAUAGGAUCCUUGUGACCGUUUCGAGUUUUUUUUCUUGAAAGGGUUUAGGGUUACCGUCAUAUGUUCAUAAACUUCAAAAAGUUUCAGUGAAGAACAAAUAUCCAAAACAUUCACAACGAGAAAUGAGAGAAACCUAACCACAACAACAACAACAGCUAGAAAUGGCAGAAGAGUUGAAGCAACUUAUACUGUAGCCCAUUUCAUUGGAGGUGACUAUGGGAAGUUCUACAGUUGUACUAGCCAGCGUAUGUCUUUAGAUGUGUGAAAUUAUGAAGGCAUCCAAGCGGGCAGCGGCUCUUCAGUUUGACAUUCCUCCAAACUAUUUUUCUUAGUCGCACAGUUCCGUUGUUAAUUGUCUUAAUUAAUUGUUUUUGGCCAUCGUCGUUAAAUCCAGACUUUUAUGGGUUUAGACUUCAUCGGGCAAUUCCGUAUUGUGAGCAUUUGGAGCAUUAGACAUGUACAGUCAUUCUGCUAUCCGAGAAUGGAAAAAUUUUCUCUAUUGGGGAGGGGAUUGUGCACAUCGAUUAGAUAAAGUUGUGCAUCAUCAAUCAUCACCAUCACUACUGCUUAUGGUCAUUGACCAUCACAAUCCCCUCCCCAUUGGCCAUCCGACCAAUGUUCUAGAUUAUAUGGUUAGUAAGGUUCGGUUUGGUUCGGAUUUUAGUUUAAGAUCUAGAAACUGAUCCAAACCAAACCAAAUCUAUAAUCGGUUUGCUUUUCGGUUCUAAGUAAAAACUGAACCGUUUGAACCCAAUUCUAAUUAAAUGAUUCGUUAGCUUCGGUCGUACCCUGGUUUCCAUAAAGAAAGCACUAAAAUGACCAAUUGAAAGUCUCAUGGUACAAAUUGAAGGGUGCGCAUCAUCGACAUUAAAGGGUGUGCAUCAUCUAUGGUUGCCGUGUGAGCUUACUAAUCACCAUGAUAUGUGGCAAAAAGGAAACUAAAUUCAACGCUAAAUCUGCAAAGACUGCCAUAGAUGAAGCAACAGACCAAUAAAAAUUGGGUAAUCAAGCAUUAUGAACUGAAUGGUGUCCAUUGUCCGCCAUUACCUUUUGUCAUGAGUCAAAAAAUGGCCAUAAGUAGUAGUGAUGGUGAUGAUCGAUGAUGCACAACUUUAUCUGAUCGAUGUGCACGAUCCCCUCCCCUAUAUCAAUCACUCACUCCCCUCUCAAGGCCAACUGAGCACUUUAGAAUCAAACAUUUGGCACAUUUUUAUUCUCCCAUCUUAAUUUCACCAACCCAUUACCGAUCAGUGCUGCAUGUACAAGCUAGUCUUUAAUAUAAACAGAACCAAAAAUAUUCCUCUUUUGAGUUGACUUUCCUUGAUCGAUUUUGUAGUCUCAUGCAUACGUACUUGAUCGAGUAGGCCUCGAUCGUUUGUUACAUAUAUAUAUAUAUAUACACAAGUGUAACUCGACUAUAUAUCUUAGAAAAUAAUAACCACUCUAGUUACUGUCUCUACAUGAUGCCGGAAUCGCUAGAAACCUCCGGUCAGCCAUACGGCCAGUGAAGAAAAACAAUAUAUGGCUUUGAUCUUAAGUGGUGAGCAUACCAAGUAGCUUUGCUUUAAUUUACUCAAAGUCUAGUUCAUCUUCUUCAUCCAAUUUGUUUUUUGACUUUUAAGAAUCGAAGACCCAAAUUUGUUUUACAGAAGAGAACCGGAAAGAAAAAGAUCUAUGUUUUUCUCCUGAGGCUGUUCUGGGGAUCGACUAGCUAGGUAGCUAAGGUUUGUAAUGUAUACAGUAAUAAACAGAUCAGAGAAGAUCGAGUAGCUAGAGUCCUGCAGGCAAGAAAGGCUACCUGAGGUGGUCUCGAUAUGCUCACUACAUGCAGCAUCGAUCAGAGCUGCUAGCUCAUCUGGUCUCUCACUAUAAAAGCUACAACAACCAAUGCAUGGGCAUGGGUUUAUUAUCAACACGUGUUCAUGGCUUCAUGCAUGGAAGCUUCCCUUAAAACUCCCUAAUUAGAUUCAGAUCUACCACCGUACGUCAAAACAGUAGUAGCAAAAAUCUAGAGCCUCAAGAACCCUCGCCGGCCGGCCGGGACCCUUUCAUUCAAUGCCGUGCCGUGAUCUCAGACGAUGAUCCCCACCUUUCAGAUAUUCGUGUCCGUGUCUCCUUUCGGACGUCGGUGACACUCAAUCAUUGACCAAUAAGUCAACAAUCUCUCCCUCUCUCGAUCAGUUCUAUUUCAAGGCAACAGGUUUCCUUUGCCAUGCAUGCGUAUCUAUAUAUGUUUAAUCUUUUUCUCAGUAAACUACGCCAUCUUUUGUUGAUCGAUCAGAUCGAUAUAUUUUGUCAUGGAAAACUUUUUGUGAAGGGAAAAUGUGCCAGUCAACUAAUUAAAUAUUUCAGUUAGGAACUUAGGAUAAUAUAUUAAGCAAACUCAGUAGCUCUUCAUAACAUCUCAUACGCCAAAAAAAAAAAGACUCAUGACAGAGAGGGCACCCACGACGCCAAGUAGCUCAAAAUUCGCAACUAAACAAAUCAUCAAGUAAUUAGUUGUGUGUCGAGCCUUUUCCUAGUCGGAUGAGAGCUAAUUUGUAUAGAUUUCUUGGUUUGUUUGUUACAGAGAUGUUCACUGGAUAGUUACUUUUUGAACAAGAAAAUAAUUAGCGACAUCUAAAUGUAAACCUAAAUUACCUAAUGAUAGAGAGAAUUUUUGCUACAUUGAGUUGUUUUGUCAUCUAUUUUUUUUUUUUGGCUGAAAGAUGAGGAAGAGAGAGAAAUGACCCCUUAACACUCUUAUGCAUUGAAAAAGAAAAGAGAAAAACAUCAAGAGAAGAGGAUUAGACCAAAAUCUCUCACAACAAAAUAACAACGAAACAAAACAAGGAAAACCGAAAUUACCUAUAAGGUCAUUACUACGGUAUAACAAAAUAAAAGAAGGAAGUGAAUUCUACUAAACUAGCUGUGUUAAUGACGUACCAUGGUCGUUUAUCUAUUAGAUCAUCCACACAAUUUGUUUGAUGAUCGAGCAGUUGACCAUAUAAACAUUAUUGUUGUCUAUAUUAUUGAAGGCUUACACAGACGCUAAUAUUAAGAGUUUAAGACAGUAAUUACCAAACAAUAAGAGUUCAUCAUGAUUCAAGACAGAGUGAAAAUCAACAAGCAAAUAGAAUUGCAGAAAGGCAAUUUAGUAGGUAAUGAUGACCGGUACAAGAGGAUGACUGGAUUCUGUAUGUGAUAGUACUUAAAUAGUAAAUAUGAUUAGAACAUACAUUUUUGUCAGAAAUAAUUCCAAAGCUAGCUGGGUUGACAAGGAUGGGAAAAAGAUUAUAUUUGUUAUUCAGUCUGGAGUAUUAUUAUUUAGAAUCAAACAAGAUCCACCUGUUACAUGCAUCAAUAAUAUUCAAUAAUUAAUAACACCCCAUGUACGUACAGGUGCCCAUUUAGUCGCUACGAUUGUCGGUCACAGUGUUACGUACACUUAAUUAUUUCAUUUCUAGAGAUUAGAAAUGGACUCAGCAGGAUUCUUCAUUGUUUUUUUUUUUUCGUCCUUUUUUUUUUUUGGACGAAAUGCAGGUCUAUUAAUGGCAUAUGGCCAAAGAAAAACAAGGGACACAGUCCGGAGCAGACAAAGUCUGCAAACAAGAUUUUCAUAGUCAUUGCCAAAACAAGCAAGACUAGAGAAAUCAAAGAAACCAAACAACUAAAGAAAAACAGCAAUACAAAUACAAAGUCUGAGAACGAAAAAGAAAAAGCCGAAAUCCAAUAGAUAGAGAGUAGCAACAGAAGAUUCCGGUUAGCUGAAGCCACCAAAGAGGGGAUCAUGAAGAUGGAGGGCAAGGCAACCCAUCUCUCGAGAGAAUACCAACAAGGGAGGAUGGCGGACGGUCAAUCCAAACGUCCGGGCACAUUCUCCGCACCGUAAGCGAGGUGAGGUGAUCCGCCGCCGAAUUCGCUUUCCUUGAGAUCCAAGACCAAAUUUAAGGGCCCUCAAAAAAUAUCCAAUAUAUAUAUAUAUAUAAAUGACAUACUAAACAUUUAUUCUAAACCUACGCAACUUCCGUCUUCUAAAACUUUCUUUCUCUUUGAUCGAGUCAUCGACUCAUUCGACCGCCGCACGCCCGCACCGCCCGCACGCGUCUUGUUAUCUUUCUCAAUUUCUCAUAUCAAGGUCUCCUUACAGCAAGCCAGCAACCCUUGAUUUCUCUGAGUCUGAGUUCUCUCCGACGAAAGUUUGGUAAGUCUGUCCUCCUCCUCUAAUGAGUCCAAUCCCAUAGUUUUUGCAAUUUCAUAGUUGAGAACUUGAAAUUGAGAAUGAGAAGGGUUUUGAUUUCAAUUCAGAAGAUUGAUUGUGAAAUAGGUUUUGGUUUGAGUAUUUGAAUCAUUGAAUGUUUGAUUUCAUGCCUUUGUUUAUGCCUAAAUUUCUGUUUAUGCCUUUGUUUAUUCAUGCCUAAAAUUCUGUAAGAUUAUCUUUUGCAAGGUGCUAUAUGGCUCAAAUUAGGAAGUAUCCUUCUGGGGCUAAAAAAAGAAAAGAGAAGUAGACAAGAGAGGCAUUAAAGAAGCUUCAAGCAGGAUCUAUUCGUAAUUAUUUAAAGUCAAUUAUUAAACAAACACAAACUUCUACCGAUGAGGAUGAGAAUGAGAAUGAGAAUGAGUAUGCUUUUUCGCAGGGAGCCCUAUUUUAUUUUUUCCGGUUUCGAGCCCCCAAUUUCUCAGGGCCGGCCCUGUAUAGGACCACAUCAUACUGUCACGUGGUCCUCUUGUAACGUCGAAAAAUUUCUCCAAAGAUUUUCAGGUUUCCUUAAAAGUGACUAAUCAACUCGACCACACAUGAUAGUUUGAUUUCUUAACCUAACCAUUUCAUUUCGAUUUGUUACAAACUAACCAGCCAUAUAAAUCAAGGGAACAAGUUGCAAUUACUGCCCACAUAUUCCGUGUAAUUAAUCAUAUGUUACCGAAUUACAUCGUCUACGUAAUCUUUCGAAACCAGGAGUAUCUGCGUCACGUUUAAUCAUGGAAUUAGCUAGUUAAGAGAGAGCAAGAAAGGCCAAAGCAUAAACAAGUGGGAUCACAUGCGGUCACUGCCACGGUAAAAUAUAUGAAGCCAAAAUGCGUACAUAGACUUCAGCACACACCCACAAACAAACACAAAGCCUUCUCUCUGCCUACCCACCCAAGAAAACGAAAGCCAGAGAGAGAGAGAGAGAGAGAGAGGUAGAGAGAAUAAUAAUAAGGACGACGGUAGUCAUGGGCUUCACAGCCAAGCCUAAGAGUCCUAGCACCAGCACCUCCUCGUCCGGCGACAACUGGGGAAUGGGUUUACUUCUAGUCUUCUUCCCUGCAGAUAACUCCGCCAACGCCAUUGUUGAUAAAACCAACAAGCUCUUCUCUUCUUCUUCUUCUAGUUCUGCGUCUUCUUCAGCAACUUCCUCUCCCUCUUCUUCCUUCAUCAAACGAACCAAUUCCAACAACGUUCUUCUCUCCAAAGCCCAGUCCACCAUUUCCAUCUGUGCGCUUUUAGUUUUCAUCACCCUCCUCCUCUUCACCCUCUCCACCUUCGAACCCAGCUCCAAAACCCACCCCUUCUCCACCGCUUCCAGAAGAUUUCUCUCAUCCCAGAAUUCCAACGUCCCUGGUUUCAAGCCUAAUAAUGUCGUUUACACAAACGACAACCACAGCCUGCUCGUCUCUUCGUCUUGGUUCGGCAAAAUGUGGAAGCAGAAACCCAACAGCAGCCGUAACCAGUUCGCUCUCCAGAGAAUGGGGACUUUGUACAGGCGCGGGACUAAGGCCAUGACCGAUCUCGUCGUGGGUCAUGUAGACGUGGACGUCACCGAACCAGAGCUCCGACUAUUUCUCAGACUCUUGCACAGGUCCGGCCUCACCGCUCGCGCCGACAUCGUCUUCAUCUUCGCCUCAUCAAAAUUCCGGUCAGCAAUCCAAGAGGAGAACGAGUACUUCCUAAACCUCGUCCGCCGUCACAGAGAAUCGAACUCCACGACAUCGACGAGUCAAACUAACCAUAAACCCGGUUCUAGUUCGAGUUCCGGUUUCGAUGUCAGUCAGUUUCUCAAACUUGGGAAGAAGGAAACUGAAGAGCCGCUGUGGGGCAAGAAGAGCAGUAUACACAGCAAUUCCAGUGAUGAAACGGACCAGGCCGAGUCGACUCAGUUGAUCUACGGCUCGGUGGUGGGGUUCGAGGUGGGCGAGCUUGACCCGGAGAACUCGCUGAGGGGGUUCCUAGACCAUGUGGCGCCAAUGAGUCUAAGAAGGUGGGCUUGUUACCCGAUGCUACUCGGCCGCGUGCGGCGGAACUUCAAGCACAUAAUGCUCGUCGACGUCAAGAACUCGGUCGUACUCGGCGACCCACUAGGCCGAGUCAGGCACAAGAGCGCCGAGUCAGUCCUGCUGUCCACAAUGCCCAACAAGCAUUGCAGCAAGAAAAUCUCGGACCCAACUCAGUCCCAUUGCCCCGUUAACUCGGCAGUCAUCACCGGCGGCGCUCGCGGAAUUCGGCGAAUGUCAACCACGGUGUUAACGGAAAUCGUCAGAGCGGCCAUGCAGCAGCAGCAGCAGCAGAGGAAGAGGAAGACCCCGGUUACCGAGUCGGGGAUUCUGAGUCAACUCGUUGGGAACCAGUUCAUAUCGAAGAACAUCAAUUUGGUCACGUCCACCGACUCGAUUCCGGACCCGAAUUCAGUGGCACCUGGGUUGCUUUUAUCCCACGCAGUAAUUCAACGCGGUAAUAGUAAUCAUGAUGAACUUAAUUCAAUUAUCAUGAAGCAAAUUUGUUCUUCAGAAAUAGAUUCUUCUGUCUAUAGGGAUUGUUAGUAAAACAAAUAAACAAUAAGUGCAAAGGAAUAGAAAUCUUUAUUAAGAUAUUGUCCAGAAAAAAAUUGUUCUCUUUCUUAUUCUCUCCAUGACUCCAAAUUUUGUUGUUACUUGUUUAUAAUAUAAACUUUAGCAAUAAAUUACAUUCUUUGGUGUAAUUUUGUAUGAUUGAAUUCAUCAAGAAACUAUUACCCUUUUUGGCUUUGAGCCCCAUUGUUUAUUGUUGGAUUGAGUAUUGGGGUUAAGAAACUAUUUUACCUUUUUGGAUUAGGAUUAAAAUUAGAGAAUACAAAAAGGAUGGAAGAUCCAGCUUUUGAUGCUGGAUUGGUGGAGAAGGGCAUUUGGCAAACAAGAAGCAGCUAAGCACUAGCUGUGAGGGUGAGUGAGCAAACCCCAUUUUUCUUAGUGACAAAUGAUUAAGGUAAGGGGCUAAAACGCCUAAAAGGAGAAGAUGAUUAGUGGCAAAGGGUGUCGUGGAAGUGGGUCAUGUGUAUGAGGGAAUAGCCUCAUAUUUUGCAUAGCUGGGCACAUGAGAGACCCAAAAUGGUGAAAAUAAGACGAAGGAGAAGGAGAAGGAGAAGGUGUGGUUGAGGUCAUGGAGGGAAUGUGAGUUAACUACUAUCUAGCUUAAGCUAGGGAGCUGUGAAGGACAUUGAUGAGGGCAUGUGGUCUGUGAUCUUCUUUUGCUCUUUUUUCUAUUUCUUCUCCGCGUUUGGUUUUAAUUUUUGCGCUGCUUUUGACGCGCGCGCCAAACAAAGCCGUGAAAACGUGUAGGCUUGCGGUCUUUACUGCUUUUGGGGUUGGCCGCUUUGCCUUUUGAACCAACAACCCGACGUGGGUCUUUAUUUACUUCGUGGUCCGGCGUCGUGCCCAUCAUCGCAACGGUUGCCUAGAGCUAUCGGAAGCAGUUGACAAUUCGGACUCUGUACUUGCUCUUUUUACUUUUACCGGAAUUAGUUUUUUUUUUUUUUUUUUUUUUUUUUUUAGUAUUAAACUAGCACUCUCCCUGCAUAUGUAUUCUUUUUAUUUAAGAAAAUAUAAAAAAUUAGUUAAAUAAAACACAUUGAAAAGACAUAGUGGGAGAAAGUAGUGGGUUGUGGAUAAUUUGUUUUUUUUUGAACAAAAUAUGAAGAGGUUUAAAUCUUGUACUUGAGGAAAACACUAUUCUUCUAUUAAUGGUGAAAUUAAGCCUUUGCUUAAGCUUUUAAGGUAGUUACUUUGGAGGAAAGGGUACUCAUAUUUUAGCAAGUAAAAGCAAUGUGUUUGUAGUUGUUGAGGUCACUUUUGAUUAACGGCGAAACGACAGUGAGACUAGGAGCUCAAAAUAUGUCCCAUUUAUCUGAGUUAGCGAAGACUAGGCCCAAAAACUUCGAAGGAUUAAGAAUCCAAGGAAAUUUACUGUUGUGUUUCUCCCGACAGCUCCUUGCAUGUCAACAAUAGUGAAUCAAACUUUCUUGAAAAAGCUUAGCAAGAGGUGCAUGGCGUGGGAGCUAGAAAAUUAUAAGUUUCAGAAGAAGAAAUACUGACAGUGGUUGGUCUAUCGUUAAAGGUAAUGGGUAUAAGGGAUACGAGUUGAGUUAUUUGGAAUAAAUAUUGGUGGAUUGCUUGAGCUUGCUACUUGUGCUAGCCUCCCUCCUUCUAGACCCUUUGGUUAAUCACAACAGCUAUUUAUAAGCAAUUCAAGAAUUUGGAGGAAUAUUAGGUGAAGAUUUUUAUUGAUGGGUAAAGGGAUGACUUUUGUUAAGCCUAAUUACUCUACACAAACAUUUACAGCCAUGGCUCUUUAAAGGAAGAGGGGGAGACCACCUGGUUUGAUCGAUACUUGUCUAAGGGAAUUGGCGAGUUAGGCACAACCUCAUCAAUGUAAAGAAUCUCUCCAUGAGAUUGUCUCUUAUUACAGUUAUGUCCAUGAAUCAAUAUUGGAGGACGCUCCGAUGUUUAAAAUGAUUCCAUAGACAACAUCUCAACGGAUUACGAGAGCACAUACACAUUGAAGCAUGAUUCACACUGUUGCUCAAGGAAUCAUAGAGAACACGAAGGUAUCGAACCACGCUUUAUUGAAGAAUGCCAACAAAUAGCAUAUUGGCCUAUAUAAAAGUGCAAUCCAGGAAGAGCUAGAUUCUCUGACAAAGAGACAGGUAUUUGGUUUGGUAGUGGUAACCGUACCAAGUGUAAAGCUUGUACGACAUAAAUAAGUCUUUGUCAAAAAGCGUGAUGAGAAGAAUGAAGCCCUAAAAGACAAGGCUUACCUUGUGGCGCCAAGAUUUCUCGUCUAGAUUAAAUACAAGGAGAUAUGUUCUCCCACAAUAAAAAAGCAUCUCAUAGAUGUGGUUACUACAUCUCUACUAUAGGGAUAUUGAUCGGGAGAUAUUUAUGAAAGUUCCUUAUGGCCUUACACAAUCCAACCCAAGUAACUCUAAACCAUGGAGUGCGUUUGCAGUUAGAAUUAAAACGCUUACUUUAUAGAAGUGACUACUUGGUUGGGAAGGGAUACAAGAUGAUGAACUAUGCUCCUGUCAGUCAUGUGUACUCAUAAAGGAAACGAGUUUCGAAUUUACAAUUAUAGUUAUCUAUAUUGAUGAUACGAACAUAAUAAGUACUCUUGACGAAAUAAGAGAAACGCGAGCUACAUGAAAUCCGAAGUGAGAUGAAUAAUCUUGGGAAACUCGGCUAACAAUGAGUUUGUGGAAUACUAGUCCACCAGUCUUCAUGUGUCCAAAAGAUUAGCAGGCAAUUUACAUGGACGAAGUGCAUACUGUUAGCACUCUCAAUGAUUGGUCGAUGUUUAGAUGUAAAGAAAUAUCCAUUUUGUCCAAAAGAAGAAGACGAAGAAGGGCUGAGAAUCGAAAAUCAUUCUCUAAAGUGUAAUAGGUGCAACAUUGUACUUAGAAAUUGUAGUUAAACUUAGCUCAGCGCCAACGCAGUGUCAUUGGAAGGUAUAAAAAGUGUAUCCUGAUACCUAAAUGAACCAUUGACUUGAGUUCAUUCUAUCCCUAUAGAAAGACGAAGGGAAUGUAGAUGAAGCUGCAAUCCCCUACAUCAAAACCUUAAAUGAUGCCUUGGUUGAUGUUUACUAAUGUCAGGUAUCUAUGAUCAAUAAGUCAUUCUCAAAACUAGUUAUCUAAUCAUCAGUCGGAACACGAAGAUACCUUAUGCGAAACAUCAGUCUCUCCUCGAGAUUCAAGUGAAUCAAAUUGGUCUGAGGAGAAUAGGACAGACUUGUUUCUCAAAUCACAGCCUAAUGAUAUAUCUGAAAGGCAUGUGAGAAACAUAGGAAUGCAAAGACGUUCCUAGAUCCCUUGAUUGAUGUAAGGAUCAGGGGAAGUGUAGACUUCAAGGGGAGUCUAACACAUAUAGGUGCGUUGCGCUCUUUUUCCCUUCGACCAAGAUUUAUUUUGUCCCGCUGGGUUUUGUUACUUGACUAGGUUUUUAAUGAGGCAACACCCCAUGCACCGUUUUAACUUUAACUUGACACAAGGGGGAGUGCUGAACGAAAAAAUGCUUUAUAUGUGCCUUCGUCAAGCCUUCGUCAAAGUAAAUGAUGAAGAGUAAAUUAGGAAGUUAUUGAUUAACGGAUGUAACAGCUCAAUCAGUUAUCAAUUAGUCAUUAUUAUCAUUAUGUACGAUGUAAUUACCUUUGUAAUCUCAUCUCUAUAUAAAGAAGAGUAUCAAUGAAAUGAGUAAACCAUUCCAUUGUGCAAUUUACAUUUACAUGGAUUACAAUGUAAUGAGUGUAAAUUUCACUUCCCAUAAUCUGUGGUACAUAACUUGGUUUAGCGAACGUGGUCACCCAAAUUUGAUAUCCUUUUAGUAGCUUUCGUAGUGCUAUUGAAGUUUAGUAAGAUAACCGAGAGCUGAACUGUAAAUUCAAACAUUAAUUAUUCAAAUUACCGUCGGCUCUCAUAUUUUUGUGUUUCUCUACUUGUAAACCCAAAACUUAAAAUUAGAAAUUUACCUUUGUUCCUCUAUGACAUAAACCGCCGACUUUAAAUUUACCCAUAAGAAGAAACAAAUUUCGUAGAGCAAGUAUAUACAGAGAGGAUGUGAAGCGGACGUCCGCACUCCGGCUUAAAGUGCGGACGUCAUCUGUUCUCCGCCGUCUCACGCCGGUGACGGCUUCUCUCCUUCCCGGACGACAGCACAGGCUUCCAGGACGGCUUAUCUCCUUGCAGGACUGGCCGGCGACAAGUUUUCCGGCCGGAUUGAAGCUCUGGACGGAAAACACCAUGAUUGAUCAAGGUUGGCCGGAAAACUUGUCACCGGCUAGUCCUGGAAGGAGAGAAGCCGUCUUGGAAGCCUGUGCUGUCGUCCGGGAAGGAGAGAAGCUAUCGUCGGUGUGAGACGGCGGAAAACGGACGACGUCCGCAUUUUAAGCCGGAGUGCGGACGUCCGCUUCACUUCCAUCCUCCAAAUAUAUAUAUAUAUAUUGGGUAUGUUACCAGUGGGGAUAGCAUUCGUGCAUAUCUCGUAGAACACAUGGGAACGCAACGCCACAAUAGGCGAUGGUGACAUCAUUGUCCAAAUUUGUUUCUCAUCUUCAGCUUUGGAUUCUAACCGACUAGGGGUUCAAAUGCAUCAAUCCACAGUAAAAUCCAAGAAUAAGAAGGCCACCGACACCCUUCCAUUCAGUUUUGGUGGCCAGUGUGUCAUUCCUCAUCACAUAAUUUGUAUACGACACUCACCAGAUUCUCCAUUUUUCUCUAAUUCUGUGGUGCGUGAUAUAGCCUGGACCAAGAAUAAGAUAAAUGUGUUAGGUCUCAUUCGUUGAGAUAGGAAUAUUGUCUUAAAUCUUAGAGGGGACAUCUUUGAUUUUGGGAAGUUUUCUCAGUCGUCACAUAUUCUCUCUACUCGCAUUAUAUAUUGUUCACCUAUUUAUCUCGUUUAAGCUAUAUUUGUCACACAUAUGAUGUAGGGAUUUGUUUGAUCAUAUAUUCCAUACCAGAACUGCUAUAAUAUAACUUGUAAGAAACAUUUUAUAAAACGGUGGACGUUUCCUCCAUUGAUAAUCCGUUUCUGUUUGGAUUAUGCAUGCAUUUUAUAGCAUAAAUUAACCACAAAUAAACACUAGUGCAAACAAACGUCAUCCCCUUGAUUGCUUUCCUUAACUAUCAGGAUUUCAAGAAAAAGCAGAUUGAAAGUGGUCAUGGGUUUUGGGACUUUAGGCAGUUUGCUUAUAAUAAUUUGCCUGAUCUUGCUUAUAUUUUUUCUUUCGAAAAUGGGUUGGGUCUCCCAUUAAGUUGGAAUAGUGUCACUCCGCCCUAUAUUAUUAUUAAUUAUCUAUAUUAUUAUUAAUUAUAGAUUGAGAAUACAAUUAAUACACCAAAGAGAUAUAGAGCCUGAACCUCGUAUAAUAUUACAUGCAUCCUUAAUAAGCACAUCCUCUAUUAAAUCAGGCGUGUCAUUGGAUUCCAUCACAUUUGUCCUCUUUUUGUAUUCAAAUCUGAGUUGAAUUCAUUGGAUUAGAACAUCUUCAUCAGUUUCUCCAAUAAAACUGUAAACAUGUAUCACCCAAACAUUGACACAAACAAGAAAAUUUCGCGGGAUAAAUUAAAGGAGAACUAGAUGAUGGUCCACAGAGUGGUUUUGACAGGGAAUGAGAAAAAGAAAAGUGAAUCUAUAAAAUCCAAGGGUAUUUUUAGAAAAAGAAAGACAUUUUGAGAUAUUAUGCUAUUAAAAAAUUACGCAAAAAUAUCAUAAAUAGUCACCGACUUUUGAUGCAUUAAUCAUUUUACUCACUCACAUUUUAAAAAUAUCAUUUAACCACUCAUUUUUGAUUCCAUCUCUCACUUAACUCACUGUCGUUAGACUUACCGUUAGGAACCGUUAACAUCGAGGGUAUAUUUGUCUAAACAUCAAAAAGGAAUUCCAAUUAGUUUUUUUUUAUAGGAAAAAGAAAAUUAUUUUAUUCUCAUUAGAUUUUAAUUCUAAAACAUUUGUUUUGUAUUAAAAUUCAAUAUUUUUUUUUGUUUAAAGUUGAAAAUAAUUUAAUAACUUUCAAAUAAGAAAAAUACGCAUUUAUAAGUUAAUAAUGUAUCGCGAAAAAAAUAACUACAAAUAAUUUUUUUUUUCAAAAUAAUUUCAGAUUUUAUAAAGUCACUCUUUUUCAUAAAAUAAAAGGGAAAUGAUUUAAUAACUUUAGAAAUAAAAUAAAAAAGUUAGAAAUGCAUUUUAUGUGGUUAGACAAAUAUACCCUUAAUUUUAAUAGUUUCUAACAGUAGGUUUAACAACAGUGAGUUAAGUGAGACAUAAUCAAAAGUGAGUAAGUUAAGUGAUGUUUUUGAAAUGUGAGUGAGUAAAGUGAUUAAUGGGUUAAAAGUUAAUGGUAUUUAUGAUUUUUUACUAGUGUCUAAAUGUAAGAAUAAAUCAUUUAGAUAUUUCUGUUUUCAGUUUUCUAUUCAGCACCAAGUGUGGGCAUACAAGAUAGAACUUGAAGGGCUUUGAGUGGGUUACUGGAUUGUGUUGAAUACAAUAGUUUCAGAAUAGAAUCCUCCUUCAAAGAGUCGUUUUGUCUCGACACUGGGAAAAAGGCUCCACCUUGUUUUCCUUCUGAUAUUGACUAGGAAGAUUUACAUGCAUCCCUUUUCUGUUUUUAUCAAUAAAGCCCAUCUAACACAUUUUCCUUGCACAUGCAAAAUUAUUACUUCUCUUUUCUUGUAAUUUUCCUUACUCUUGUUGUCUCUCUCCCAUUGGUCCACAAUCCAAAUACGUCUGCUUUUCCACGCGUUUCAUGCCAUUAGAUGCAUAUUUCGUUAAUUAGAUUGUGAAUGAAGCGUCUCUCUUCAAAUUGUUAGUUACUUUUACUCUAUUUCGUCGAGUGAUUAUGGUCUAGUUUGAUAUUGAGUUUUAAGACAUAAAAUCACUUAUAAUAUGUUUUUAAAUAGAUUUCAUGUUUGAUAUAAUUUUAUAAGGUGUUUAUUUUGAAAAUUUUGAGUUAAAUAACCACGAUUUUAGAAAACAGUUUCAAGAUUUACUUUUUUAAAAUUGAGUUUUAUUUACAAUCGAGUAUCAUUUUCACCGUCCCUUUUUGUAAUAGUUUUUUAGUACCAUCUCAUAUUCUGAUUGUUGAGAAGAAAAUAAAAUGGAUGAUGAUGCUUCGACUUUCGAGUGCGAUCGAGGAUUGUCUUGUCUUUUACACGCUGCGUGGAGGGAAUUACUCAACAUAGAAUGGUCUGCAUUACUGCUCCUUGAAUUGUCAAGUAGGAGCCAUGGCAGCUUUAUCUAACUAGGUGUACGGUUAGCUAAGUUUCUUCCUUAAUGUCCGUUACACUGAGCUGCAUAUUUUUUUGGGACAAAAGAUCUAUACCAAGCUGCAUGAUCCGACGAGAAUCAGAUAUAUAUACGAGGAGGUGCUGAUGUAGAUUCCAGAACACCUAAACAACUUAAAGUCUAGAAACAAAAACAAGAAAAAGGAUUUUAGAAAAAAAAAAAUUACAUCAUCUCCGCCAUGGAAACUAAUCAUCAUCUGCCAUAAUUAAAACCAAGAGGAAAAUGAUGAUAUUUUCAAAGGAAUAAAAAAGAGGAUAGCUACUCGAUCAAGAAUCCCUUAAACGACACAAUGACUUUAGCUAGCUUGAUGAUGAUCCAUUUUUCGUUUUUAAAUUAUUCAUUAUAGAAGAGUUGGUAUGGUUGUACGUAUGAUUUGAAAUUCAAUAGUAAUGGUGCAUUGAUUUGAUGCACCAAUUUAGUUGCAUAUGUGGGUAGUCUUAUGAUGGGAAUGUUUAAACCACCUAGCUAGCUCCAUGUAUAUAACAAAACAGAUUGCAUAUAUAAUGCAUGUUUGUUAGUACUUGAUUUACAUACUCCUAUUGUUUGUUUGGCAACUUCUUCAGGCUACAUUUCAAAACAAUCCCUCCAUGCAUGCAUGUACGAAUUCGAUUAUAUUUAUUAAGCAGACGUAUUAUGUAUAAUAUCCACACAAAUCAACUAUGGUUACUUGAUAGUACAAGUAUGUCGGUACGAAAAAUUUGAUUUGUAAUAAUUUAGACCAAUUUAAUAUCCAGCUACUUCUUAAGAAGGAAAAUGACUCAUCAAACUAAACUUAUUCAUUUGGUUUCCAGAUCAUUAUCAUGGAAGAGCAAUCUAGCUCCAUAAUUAAUGUUCCAAAUAAUAAUAGAGGUUCUACUUAAGAGGUCUUGAUCUUGAUUGUGCCACGUACAUGGGGCAGAUUAGUUGUAUGACUAAUCUCAUUUAGAGCCAAAACAAAUUGAAGAAAGCAAUAUGUCAUCCAAAAAAUGAAAGAUAGCAAUUUUGGUUUUGGUCUCUCUUCUUGGUUUGAUUAUACGUGCUUCGUCCUAAUUAGAUAUAAUGGAGACUAUUUGAUGAUAUGAACAUAUAUGAAGCAUAUAUGCGAUAUGUCGUGUCAUUGUGAAUGAGGUCUAAUCUAGAAGAAGCAAGCACUCACUAAUUAACUCGGGGCAUAUAUUCCCACGGGGCCUCUCCUCAUGAGUCAUGAGUCUAAUCUGGAUUAUUGGUAUAUUUCAUUCUCUAUGCGUGUGAUAUAGUACUACUGCAAUGUAGUGCUUGUGAUUCGUAUCAAAAGGAAAAAUGUAGUGCUUGUGAUGUUUGUCACUAUAACUCACCUAACACUAAAUACAGUGGAGAGCCUUAACGUAUAUGAACACCGCAGUUCAUACUUUUAUCGUUCUUGUUAACAUGAAUUGAUUCUCCAAGUUCGUUCCAUGACUGAGUUAGACGUAGAUGUGAUUUUAAAAAGUUUUAUUAAUGCAGAUAUAUUAUGUGGAACGUACAAAAACAAAGAUCAGAGCAAAAGGGGUUAAGCAGUAGCAAUCAAUCAAUAAAACCAACAAAAGAUGUAAUCAUCCAUGACCCAAACAACUCGUAAUCAUCUUAAAAGUAUAGGUGACUUCGGAUAAGUGUUCGUUAAUUUAUGAUUGAGAUGCUUUUUGUUGUGUUUGGGGACCCAGAAGGUUUACAAGGCUUGUUUCAACAAAAAUAUGGAAUUGAAGUUCAUGCAUCUCUACAAAAGCAUGGUUAUGAGAAGCAUAAUCAAAUCGCUUAUGAAUCAAAAGGACGUUGGGGUAGAGAUACCCUAGCUACGUUGGGGUAGAGAUACCCUAGCUAGUCUGGACUCGAAGUCACUUAACAACCUUACGAGAGAUAGAUUGCUUGACCAGCAAGGUAUGUAUUGGUGAGCUGAAAUUUAGGUCAUUAGUUCUAAUCUCAUGGUUCGUGGGUUGAUAUGUACGUUGCUCCGAUGAAUGAUACUUUCAUGGGAAACUAAGUUGGAAGAGACUCUCAUAAUGAGCCAAUUCGUAGGGUUAUUGGAUAUACACCAAUGAGACCCGAAUAUGAGUGUCUAGGAAUUGGCUCUGUAUCUCAUCGAUCAACUCAAGUCAUUUGGCGGCGUCGCUCCGGCCAGACUCCUUUAUCAGACUAUAAGUAUACUUGAUUAUUGGUAUGUUGAUGUAUUGAAUUACAGAAGGAAAGCUUGAUAACAUCAACUUUUGUUUUCAGUCUGGAAAUUAAAAAUAAACCUUAUAACGAAGAACAAGCAAGAACUUUUAAAUUAACAGUGGGAUGACAUGCACAUUGGAAUUUAAAAAUAUCAAUCAAAGAUGUAAAACACUCAUUCAACAGUUUAUUACAAUGUUCUCACUUAGUCCUCAGUAUAAAGUCUUUGUUAUAAGCUCUCCCAAGGUUCCAAAUAGUGUUUAAAAUAUAGCAUUAACCAGCCAUAUCAUUCUUCUUUCUGUUAUGUCAAGGUCAAUUUGUUGCUUGUUUUGCUCAUACAUUCUGAGUUCAACAAAUGAGAUAUGAUCUUGAACUCUUUCCUUGAAUAUUCAGUCCACCCUAGCAGAAUGGGGAGGCUUUAAGAUUCAGUUUGCGCCAAGGAAUGCAAGCACAUAAACUAGCAGCUUAUGCGUUUGAUUCUAGUGUACACCUAGACUGGUUCUCUUAUGCUGAAAUAGCGUGGUUCUCUUUUUCCCUUUUUUUUGUUUUUUUUGUCAUUUUUUUUUGUGUGCGGAGAAGGUGUGUAUGUACAGUCCAUGUGUAUGAGAAUGAGGGAAAUUAUUCCGACAAAGAGGGUGGUUGAUUAGUAACAAUAAUUUCAUCUAUUGAUUAGCAUUAGCAUUAACAAUAAUUUCAUCUAUUUCACAUUUUGCCGAGUAGCGGUUCGUAUUUCCGCGAGCAGCGUAUUCCGGCAAGCAGUGGCAGGGGAUUGCAUUUGUCGUAGUUCAAGUAGUAGCACUGAAGAGAUUUGGAGACUUUGCGGCCACGACAGAAGCAGAGCUCACGGUGGAGCUUGGCGUCAUUAAGGCGGUCAUAGUCUAGCCUAGAGGAUCCACCUUCACUUCAGCUUACUUCUCAGCAUCGACUCGAAUAAUAGCACUGUAGAAAUAUUUUUUAGGCCAGCCUAAUGUAGAAUAAUGGCACCGCCACUGACAUGCAACACUUUUGCCCCCAAAUUUCCAUUACAGAUUUUGAAAUGAUGAUUAUUCUUCUCUUUUGUUUAUCUUUUACUCGUUGCUUUAAUGAUCCAAAUUCUGUAUUCGGUUAAAAUUUCAUAUAUGUUAAGUCUAUAAGAAGUAUCACAACCCUUAAAAUAAGAAAACAAGCAAUAAUGUAUACGGCUAUCCAAUUGCAAACAAACAACUUCUCAUUCAUUAUGUCGGUCACACUACAAAAUACAUAAUGCAAUCAUAUACACCCCCUCUUUUUAAACACUAAACACUAAAAAACAGCAAAAUGAAAUACACAUGGAUCAAAUGAAUGAAUUUCACCUGCACUCCUUCGGACUAUCAUCUGUGAUAAUUAAAGCAGCAGCAGCAGCUGAGAAAUAAGAUAUAACACUCUAUAGGCAGCAUCGCAAUUAAUAUCGAUACUAACCACAGCACAUUGCUCAUCAAGAGCAAAACGCUAUACAGCAAACUAGCCAUCAUCACUGACAGUAAAACCACAAUUACCACGACAAAAAAUACCAUUAAGAAUGAAGAUAGUGAAAGUUAUGACGCAUAAGGAAAAAAGAAAAACCGGCAAAGCACUCGUGCUAAUGAAUUUGGUUUCUAGAACAAAUCAGCUUUCUUCUUUUGCAUGUCUUGCUUCCAUUUCGGGAGUUGAUAGAAAGCAUCUUUCGUCAUCCCAAAUAUGGUCUGAAAGUCUUCAUCAGAGAGAUAGGCCUGCAAAGCCAAACAGGAUGUUAAUUACCAUUUCAAAACAGAUGAUAAAGCAUAGAAACAUUUACAAAUGACCCACCUCUCUUCUCUUAAAAUCAAUUCCAGUAACUGGAUUGUCAGAUUUAGCCCUCAGUUGGUCAUAACUGAAAGUACUUUGACAGCUUUCACUGCCAUUCUCAUCCUGCUCUUGCUUUGGUUCUGAUACAGAAGAAGGUGAAACAGCAUCUAUAACUUCAGGAACUUCAUGAUCUAUAUCAGAAUACGCCUUUUCACUUUUCGUUUCAGCUGCAAAUGUAUCAGGUAUUCUAAAGUUUCAGAUAUUCAAUAUAUAUGAGGAACGACUCUAAUUAGAAUAUAUUGAGCAAUGAAGGCCCAAAAAUAGCAUCAUCAAGAAUGUAAGUUCAGUUAUCUAGGAACAUAUUAAUCGUUUCUUGAUAGGAAAGCUAAUCUGUAAUAACAAAGGGAAAUGAAAUGCAACAGGAAUGGAGAGGAGUUCGUCACACAGAGCAGUAAAUUAGAGAAGAUGAAAAUGAGCUAAUAUGAAGUGCAACCCAAUCAAAUAGGAUUCAAGUAUGAUCUUAAAUAUUUGACACUGGUGUUCAUAGAAAGGCUAAAAGUAUACCAAUUCCUCCUUGUUGCCUUCUAUUUCCAUCAGAACAGACCAAUGUGAAGUCAAGGCUACACACUGCCUUAUAUAUGUGCAUGCCCAAACAAGGAAAAAAUUAUCAACUUUGGAACACUAACAUCAUCAGAGAGAGACAAGCAUAUGAGUAGAGCACUUUCUUGGAGCACAUCACAAGUUCAGUGCACUCUGAAGGCAUAUCACAUAUCAUCCUUAUAAAUCAUCUCAUAUAACCACAAGUAAAGUUAUACCUUGUAAGUAGAGUUGAGUCUAUUUCUACUUCUAAGGAUUUUAAGAAUAAUAAUCUUUCUUCCAUAAUUCUUAACUGACAAGCAGCUUCAGUAUACCCUUUAGUAUUAACAGAUGAGCUGCCCCUUUAGUAUUUAAAGUGGACUCCAUGUCAACUGCCCUCUUUAGUACUUUCCUUUUUGUUUCAAUAGAAAGCAACAAAGUAAAAUGGAUUUGGUUGCCAAUAAGAAAAAGUAGAACUAAAUAAAAAAUAAAUAUACCAAACUCUUUUGUCGGACUGGAAAUUUUUUAACAAGAUAUCCAUUCAAGUUCCUUUUAACACAUGACACAUGACCCUAGGAGAGGAAACAGAAAAAAGAAAUUACCAAACAAUGAUUAAGAGGUAACACGUAAGAAGUAUACAUAGGAAAACAAAGUCAACAUGCCAAAUGCCUUGUAGAUCUGAAUUUUAUUUACAAUUCCUAUCAUGAUCUUAGACAAGCAAACGAUAGAAAAAUAAUAAUGAAUAGAGAAUAACGUACACCAGCAUUCAAUCAAAAAGAAUCAAGAAGAAAAAAACAAUAAUUAAGACGAAAACAUACCAUGAUGUUGGCAAAAUAGUAAAGGAAGCUAAAAAUCAAGAAGAAAACCAACCUUAAUUAAGAAAAAGGUUACAGAAAUUGUCAUUCUCUAUCAAAAAAUAAUGUAGCUAGUGCAAAACAGUACGAAAACUUGCAGGAUUAAGAUAUCUAUAAAGUGAGGGAAAGAAUGCAAGAGUAAUUCUGCUUUGCUUACCACUAGUUUCUGCAGGGGGACUCUGCACAGGAGAGGCAUCAGGGGUUAACCUAGUCUUUUCAGCUGUAAGAACAUUUGAAAGUGCAGCAACUGCUGCAGCUCUUUGGGAUCCUUGACUUGUUGAAGAAGGCUUGGGAACAGAUGAUUUGCUUCCAGAAGAUGAAUUAAAUGCAGAAGAUAAAGCGGCUAAAGCUUCAGCUCUUUGCCUUGGUCCUCCUUCGCUUGACCCAUUGGACUUAUCCUGGCCAUGUGAUUGCAUGUAAGUCGAUCUAUUUAAUGAGUGUCACACUUCAUGCAAACAUAAACAUGAAAAAAGAAAAGGUGCUAAGAUAUUACAAAAAAUAAGCAAAGAGGCACACAGAUCAAAUGAGCAAGUUCUAUGUUACACCUUAGGAUCUGCUCCAAUAUGUAAUAAUAGGACAUUUAUAGCAAGGAGAGGGGAUGCAAGAACCGGAGCACAGGAAGACUAGAGGAUGCACACUCGCUAGUGCAAUUUUUGCCGAUAUAAAACCACGGCUUGUUAACUAUGAGUCCCUAGUAUCUCUUUUAUGUCACAUAAGAAUCAUGUUUAGUAAAUUAAAAUUUCUCAAUUCAACUUUCCAUGCCGAUCACAUGAGUAUCUCAACAUUUUCUUUUCGAUAUAGGAGAACUGGAAGAGAGUCCGAAAUCUCAUUCAAUCGCCAUCAAAAUCUAUAUCCACAUUAUCAGAAAAAAAAAGUGCCUAUUACAGGUUCUGAUCGUCUGCAACACCUCAGGUGAAGAAAAGAAUCCACUAGAAUUAAAUGGUAUUGACACAAUAAAUUUUAAUUACCGUAGGGGGUGAUUUUCCAGGGGAAGAAUUGAAUGCAGAUGAUAGAGCCGCUAAGGCUUCAGCUCUUUGCCUUGGGCCUCCUUGGUUCCCAUCAGAUUUGUCCUGGCUCAGCAAUAGGAAUGCAUUGUUUGUGUAUUAGAGAGGAAUUAUAAAUGACAAUGCUAAAAGAUUAUCAAAUUUUGCCCGGUUUUUUCUGUUAAUGUAGUUGGAUUAUUUCAAAUUGUUAGGACUUGUGAAUAAUAAAAUGUUCUUCCAUACGUAACUCAUGAUGUGACAAGUUCCAAUAGACCAAGGAUUUUAGAUGUCCACACAAUGCAUUACGAUGCCCCAAACCCAUGCCAUUCCAAGCAAAAACAAAGAGGAAAGGGAAAUCGAAGUUUGAAGCCUUAAAUCACCACCAUUGCUUAAUCUUAUGCGGAUAAUAAUGUAAUACUUAUAUUCGUAGACUAUUUUCAUAUUAUCAUUAAGACAAGAAAUUGUAUAUUAAAACCACUGAUAAUGAUCCAUACAGAACCAGAUACUUGUAACAAGUAGUUUAAAAUGUAACAGCAUAUUCUAAAGGAAUUGGAGAGAAGAACAGGAUAUCGUGUAUCCAUUAAAUAUACUAGACACAGCUUACUAGAAGCUAUUCAGACACAACUAGCAACCCAGAUCAAGAUAUGACAUGUUUAGUAACAUAGAUAGCUUACCUCCACAGCAUGACCAACCCCAAACAGAAUGGACACCUUCUUCUGAAAUGAGUUUCCUUGAACCUACCAUUUAAUAAACAUACUAUUAAGAAAUACACAUGAAUAUAAUACAAGUAAUGCAUCCUUAUUAAUUUAAUUUGAAUUCUUAUACAACAGUAAUUAAAAAUGUUUGACCCUGUUUUCAUAUCAUCCUGCUUUCAGAGAUCAUGCUUUCACACAAUCUUUUGACAACAGAUUAAGUUUGUUGAAAGGAAGAACAUAAAUCUUAAGAAACUGCACUAUUAACAAACAUGAACACCAUUCCCUCCUUCAAGCCUACACAUGGUGCCUAAAACUGAAGCAGCAGCACGAUUCACACCACUCUCCUUGAAGCUUAGACAUGAUGCACGGGAGAAACCCAAUCCACAUGUUCAAAGCACUGUCACCAAUGACUUGUGCGAAUAUCCUCUAAAAGACUCGAGCUUCCACCUCCUAACAUCUAUCUUAGUUUCCAUCACUCUGACUUCAUCCAUGAGUUCCAGGAUACCUCUCACAUCUUUUGGACAUCCCCAUCAUCAAACUUGCUCUAACUUUACCAACAUAACUUUCAAAAAAAUUCAGCAUCUAAUAUAUAUGAUCAAAGGUCCAUUGGUAACAUAUUUACUCAUUGCCCUCAAUUAUCCACUAUACAAGGUUCAAAGUCACAAUACUCUUAUAAUAAAGAGGGAAGUAAGGAACUGCUUGGAUGGGCUAGGAAUGGUGCUUGGCAACAUUUCAGUGAUGGCAUGAAAUUAAUAUAUGUUGGUAUGUAUAUAUAUUUAUAUAUGUGUGUUUUAGAACAUACAUUAGCUUUUGCAAGAUCCCAUGAAAAGUAUGUUGUAAAGAAGCGAGGUUCAUUUCCUUCAGUAACUUUGUACAAUGGAACAUUAGGAGACAUCCCGUCCAGAGAUGCUGCCAUCUCUAUGUAUUUCUGCAUACAUCAUUUAGAAUCAGAGCAGAAUAUAUAUAUACAUACAGGAAUUCUCAGGUGCAGACGUCCGCACCAAAACUUUGGUGCGGAUUUCCAUUUUUGCACCACUUUUCGAUCGAAUUUUCUCAUCUCCACCGUCUAGUAUCUAGAUAAUAUUGUGUAGAUCAUCUCUGAAAAAUUUCACCUAAUUUGGUAAUCGUUAAGCCCCUCAAACUCGAAAAACAAAUGGACGGAUUGAAUUCUGUCUGGUUGUGUUCAUACCAGAAAAACUCGAGUUUGAGGAACUUAACGAUCACCAAAUUGGCUGAAAUUUUGCAGAGAUGAUCUACACAAUGUUAUCUAGAUACUAGACGGUGGAGAUGAGGAAAUUCGAUCGGAAAGUGGUGCAAAAAUGGAAAUCCGCACCGAAGGUUUCGGUGCGGACGUCCGCAGCCAAGAAGGGCUGUAUAUAUAUAUAUAAUAAAUAAAUAAACUAAAUAUCAAGGUAUACCUUGCCAAUUUCAAAAGCAUUUUGCUUUGCUUUCGAGUCUACACAUUGACCAACCCAAACAAAGACUUCAGCAUGUGUGUCAAGUAUAAGGAUAUCCUCUGUCAGUAGAUCAUCUUGAGUAAAGUUGUAAAUUUCUUCCACCUGUGCAGUAAGAUACAAAAGAAGAUUAGAAGCCACAGAUACCUGAGUCAAGUUUCAAUUAAAUAUAGUCUGUUACCUCACCUGAAACUUUCCUGGGGAACCCACAUGGAAACAAGGAAGACAAAAAUAAGAACAGUUAGAGCAGAAUUAGCUUGGCAAACAAUUUAAUCCAACUAAGAUGUCAAUUAAUUCAACAAAAAGAUAAACUUAAAGCAGCAGCGACUGAAGUAGUUGUACUUAUAAACAAAAUCAUCUACCUUUGUUGAAUGAGAAUGUGAAUAGGUGGGGAUCUCUGGAAAUUUCAGAAGCAACUUUAUUACUGGUGUAAUUUUGUUUCCCUCCUAGGGCAUGCCAGAACGUUGAGCUCUCAGUUCCUUCUUUAGCAUGUUUUAUAGUAACUCCUGGCUGUAUUAGCAAUGCAUAUAAGGCUCAAAUAGAUAAACAAUCCACACAACUAUGAGGUAAUCUAAGAAACCCAAAAUUUAAGACAUGUUUAGUGACUAAAUUCUAUAUAGUGCAGUCCUACACCAACUUGCUAUGUGUACUUUACUAAACCAUUUAUAAUAAAAAAGAUUUAAUAGAUAAUGUAACACAUAUGGCAGGAAGAGGAGGCCUCUUUCUGAAUAAGAAGUAUACCUUCAGAAAUUCUGCAAGUUUUGCUGCUAACUGUUGCUGCUCAACAGAGCAUUGAUUUCCAUUCCAAGCAAAAACUGAGGAGCCAGAUUGCAGAAGGAAACACUCAUUUGAGUUCAAUGACGUUGCCACCUGGACAUGAACAAAAUUAUAUGUACAUACAUAUGAGCUCAUUGUAUGUAUAUGGACAAGAGGCAAAUAUUGUCCAACUAGGAAAAAGAGUACAAAUAUAAUAUCCAGUACUGGACAAGAAGUCCACCUACAAAACUAAGAAAAGAAAAUAUUAUCUCCAAGCAUGCAGUUUCAUUUGAUCUUCCUUCUACAAACCCAUGCCACAAAAAUUAGUGACCAAACUGAAGCCCCUUAUAAGUAUGCAUAAGAAAGAAAGGAAUAUCUCUAAAUUCUGUAGAUACCAAUGCCUAGAGAGAUCAGAACCAUAUUCUAUCCCACAACGCAUCACCUCCUCCUCCACCUAUCCUUAAGCUGUCAAUCUAAAUUACUUCAAAUUUAAAAACAGUACACAAUGAACGUUGAGACAUUAAUUGCUCCUUUAUUGCUUAUUAUCACCUGAGUAUGCGUUAAUAAUACUGUAAAUGAGCACAUGUGACUUAAUCGGUACCCUUGGCCUUCCAAAUUAAAUAGGAAUGAAUUUAAAGAUAAAAUAGGUAAAGAUGGUUUUCCAACAAACAAUUAAAAUGACAUUUGUAACCUUAGAAACAUUAUGAAAUCAAAACUUUGGAUAUUAAAGGCCAGAAAUAAUUCAAAUAAAAGUGUCCCAUGAUUUGCCCUAAAAAACAAGAACUCUUCUUUACUGGGAAUAUAGAGAAAUAUUUGUAUGUUUUUCCGUAUUUCUGGAUGUUUACAUUUACAGAAUUACAGUAAUAUUUUGUAUGAUAUGAAAACUUUGGACAUAUGUGUAUCCCACAGCAGUUUGAUACUCUCUCAAGUUAUGGUCAGACUGAGUCCUUCCUAGUUAUCAUUCCAAACUAGCAAUUAGAUAAACAAUAACGUCACUUCCCUAGAAAAUCUAAAUAAUUUCAAACGUCAUUGUAGAAGAAAUUGUAUGUUUGUGCAAGUGUUAUGCAUGAUUAUAGAAUGAGCUUGUACCGCAUCAACUUGCACUGCUUUGUUGUUAUGAAUAGAGGUUCCAGAUAACCGAAAGAGUGCAACACAUUCUGCUGUGUACGUUUCAUCAGCUAACCCUUUCUCCUCAACAAAUUUUUUAUAUCCAGAGCUCAGGCCACCCUAAAUUGAAAGUCAAUGAAAUUAAACAGUUAACAUCCCUGUUUUUAAACUACACAAGUCGAUUUAGUAAUUACAUCGAAUCAUGAUGUGAAAAUGAAGGUUUUGCCCUUAGCUUAAACAUAAUACCUCGAGGACAACCAUAGGCUGAAAGAGCGCAAUAAACUGUGGUGGCUCUUUACCUUGGAAUAUGUGACCCUGCAAGAAGCCUGUAUGUUAUAUGCAUGUCCCAACGACACAUUCUCUGUCCAACUUGACUAAAAUUCACAAUAUAUUACCUGAACUGGUCUUCCCUUCAGUGAGUUGGACAUGGAAGUCGCCAAAUGAGAAGCUGUUUUCUGGUCCUCCUGAAAUAGGUGUGAAUGAAAUUCUUUAGCACACAACAGAUACUGCAGCUUAGAUUUGCCAAGUGAAGCACCAAAAAAGUAGAAGUAAUGUAAACAAGGCCAUAGUAUUGUACUUACUUUCUCCAUAAGGUAAACAACUUGAUCCUACUUAAAUAAUAGAUGGCUUGAAAGAAGAGAAGAGUAAACAAAGAACUAGAUCAACAUUCAUCUACUAAAUAUUCCCAGACUAAAUCUCUUCUAGAAAAAAAAAUAAAUAAAUAAAUUACACACUAAAUCAUUUACUUCUACUGCACUCCACCUCUCAAUGAAAUCAGGUCCUCCUCCUAAUAUGAAGAGUACUGGUAUUCCUCCCUAACCACAUCAUUCAAAAAACACCAAAACAUGUUUCGACAAUUCAUUUUCUUUCCACCCCCCCCCCUCCCCCUCCCUCCUCCUCCUCCUCCUCCUCCUCGCCAAAGCCACAAUGUCAAUUUACUUCUAUAUAAAUUGAAACGUGCACAUUUGUAUCUAUAUGUAGGAAAUGUAACAGAAAGCAGCCCCUAGUUUCAGUUAUUUGAAUUCUCCAACAGGAACAAAGCGAUUUACCUCAAUACUAUCUUUUCCGAACCAACAGCACAGAAAGUAGUCAUCUUUUCUGUCACCAGAGUGGUAGGUAUAAAGAAUUAUGUAGCAAUCUCCACUAAAAAAUUUGCCGAUAUCUUCCUUAGGUACUUGUGUUUUAGCACUGCCAUUGAUGCACCAUACCUGAAAAAAAUAAUUUAAAAAAAAUCAAUAUGCUGGAAUUUAUCAGCAAUGCAGCCUGUUUAAUUAAAUAAUUACUAGAAGUAUGAGAGAUCAAUAUCAACUAGACCUCCAUCUUUCCACCUCCUUCAAGCAAAGGUGGGACCUCUUCAUUUACGGGAGUACCCUUUGUCAUGCCCUUUACACCAAUACCUUGUUGCUUCAACAGAGCUAGCAGAAUACAAAUACGCUUUAUUAAUAAACCUAAUCAGAAAGCAUUAGAACUUAGUUCACAGUGUAGAAUUAUAAUUACCUGCUACUUUUCCUCUUCCCUCCUCAGAACCAGACGUUGCUGUUCCCAAUGGCCAAGAAUCAAAGUUGGACUUGAAUGAACGUGUCUCAUAACCUUGAAUAACCCGGGUUAUUCGUGUUGAUUUUGGUCUAUUCUGAUGAGACACAAAUUCCUGGUGACAGAAGUACGAUUAGAUUUAUACAUUUCACUGAAAAAUCACUGUUCAUCAGCGUGAAGAAACGAGUACAGCUCACUACCUCAGCUGCUUGGCUAGCAGCUUUUCUGUCCUCCACUUGUGUCAACCGACCAAACCAAACAAAUACCUCGGAACCACAGUCCAGUAAGUAACAUUUGUUGUUUUCAAGCAAGGAUUUAGAUAGUUCACCUUCUACAAUCUUCACUUCAGCAUCAGUUAUGCUGUAAAAACCAGUGGUAAAAGGUUAGAACCUCAAAAGUAAAACACAAAAUGGUUUAAAUACUGGCCAGUCCAUUAGUAAUUUCGGCACAAUGACACUAGAAGCUGGGGGGAAGGUCAAAGGGAACAGCAGCAUGCCAUUGAAACUUUUAUUUUUUCUUUAAACCGGUAGAAACUCGAGAACUUUUUACAACUUUAAGUUCUCGCUUAAAAUUCAACCCUAAAUGCCGAGGUUUACAACUUCAACAGUUUCAAAAUGUAAUAAACUAUUUUCUAAUUCAAGUUGAAAAACAAAAUGACCUCAACUACAAGGCAAAAAUUGUAUUCAUUAUUGUUACUUGGCUACUUCUAGAGCUGAUGCUUCACCUUGAGAGCAAGUAGAGAACGAGCAGUGAAUACUAAGGCACUCUAACUAAUAUAUUUUUUUUCCAAUUAAUAGAUUUAUUGUUAGAUUCACAUAAGCUUGUAUAAAAUAAUUUAGAAUAGAUGUGUGGUUUGGCAAUCCAAUAUAACACAAUGGUGUGGAGCAUGAUUGAAUCCAUAGACAAGUAUGAGAACAAAAAACGAUAAUCUUUUGAGUUUAUAGAUCAGCAUAUGCCGAUUAAUUAACAAUGGCAUGCAAAGACUUGCAAAGGAACCUGCAUACACGAGAUGAGAUGGGGAAAGAAUAAAAGAAUAUCAGAAUACCUAUAAAGUGUAGCAGGAGUGGACUCAGGAAUUACAUCAUCUUCAUUGGCAAUCUUCUUGCUAAUCGGAGCAAAACCACCCAUUAGGACCCAGAACUCACCAGAGUCAGAUUCUGUGUCUAGCUUCCCAUCAUCUGGCAUGGUGAAGAUUGUUUUUCAGAAAUAAGUAAAGGGUAAGGAUGACAAAGCACAGAGAUGUUAGGUAAGAAUAGGGAUUAGAUUAUGUAGGUUCCUCCAGGACAAGAGGCGAUCCCAUACGAAGUGUGUGGGGUUGUUGCAUACAAAGAUACCGUAUAUUCACUUACCAACUAUUGCAACAUCACAUGUCCCAUUGUGAUACUUUUCUUUCAAAUACUGAAUCACUUCCAAAGCCUUCGCCCUUUCCUGAAUAUUGGAAUUCGCACCAUUGAACUGAAAGAUCUUAUCCUUGCUGUCCAGGAUGAACACAUCAUCAUGAUUCAGUGACGAACGCGCAAAAGGAACCUGCAUAAUUGCACUAAGAAGUUAUUACUGUAAUCUUCAGAACACAUAAAAUGAAGAAAAUUUGAAUUCAAGACUGUAUUUCAAAGAAGGAUACCUGCUUCAUUCUGACAACUCGUUUUCCUCUGCAGAUAUACAGUCGAGUUUCAAAUUCUUCUUCCUCAGGCUUUUUAAAUCCUGAUGCAACGCCACCCUCCAAUGGUAUAAUACAUGGUUUGAAGUAGGACAAAAAUUUAUCAGAUUCAUGGCCUUGAAUUUCCCUAUGUUGUACGGCGCGUCCUCCAAGAGCUGUAUCUAGUUCAACCGUUUUAAUAGCUGCUGUCCCAGCUUCAUCCUAUAAUAAGAGAAGACAGGACACAAAGUCAGACCAAGUUUCGAGUACCUCUUCUAUAUAUACAGAUAUAUGAAUAAAAUACAUACAUAUAUAAAAGUAUAUGUGUGUGUUGUGUGUCCGUGUGUGUGUGUGUAGAGAGAGAGAGAACGAGAAAGAGAGGAGGGGGAGAGAGAGAGAGAGAGAGAGAGAGAGAGAGAGAGAGAGACAGNGNGAGNGAGNGNGNGNNGNGANNGANNAGAGNNGAGAGAGAGAGAGAGAAGCACACCUGACUUGUGUCCUUCCCAAUCCAGAAGUGGAUGUCAAACAGAUAAGCGCCCCCUUUGUUUUGUGUUGUCUGCAAUAUGUGUCACAUAAUUGCAUAAAACUUACGGCUGGAACAGCCUUUUUAUUUUUAAGUUAAUAAUAAAAAAUUAAAAAUUUACUUCUGCAAUUCUCAGAAGAAAUAAUACCACACAAACAAACAUAACUCUUUGUUAAUGUUCUUGCAAGGAAAAAUCAUCCCGAUAAAAUAAAAAUAAACAAAAUGUAAUGAAAAACUGAAAACAAUUCACACCUGCAAAACAAUAUAAGAAUCCCCCAUAUAGAAUUUUCCAUGUUCAGAUUUCGGCAAAGGAACUGGCUGGAAAUCUUCAAUUCGCCAAAUCUCAGUCCCUCUAUUAUGUGUCAAGUUCAACAACCUCAACUUUGGACAUACUUAGCGGUAGUUAAAAUAAUACCAAAAGAAGUUGCAUAUUCCAAAACUGGCUAAAGGUAUAUUCUGCUUUACUAUUCUAUCUAUGACAGCAAAACCAUAACCCAACUAUUUUGGGUCAGCUACAUGAGACCUGGUCCUCCAAACAGUACUAUCCAAGGUCAUAAUUUAUUCAAGUCACUUUUCAUUUUAGGCUUUGAGUGGAAGUAAUUUUUUUUACUAUCCAGUCUAACUAGUUUUUUUUAUUUUUUAUUUUUAAAUGAAAUCUUAAUACUCCCUAAAAGGAUACACUCUUUGACCUGCUCCCUGAAAAGCUGGAUCCAUCGCUUUUGUAGAACUAGCCAUUGCCCGAUCCCUUGUUGUGAUGUUUCCUUCAGCAGGGAAGACUUUGAAUCCUGUGAUUCAAUACCUCAAUGUUUCACCAGAGAUUACUGCGAGGGAAAAAGAAAAAAGUCAAGACACAAACAAAAGGAGUUUUGUUACAAAGGCAUGAAAAUUAAAGAAGGAAACACACGAAGCACUGCCAAAACGAAUGGUCCAUCAUUAUCUAGUGUCAACGUUCGAGACUUGAGAGCUGCCCAGAAUUUAACUACUUUAUUUAUUGACAUUACGGAAAUGGUAACAUGAUCAUCAUUUAUUAUUGAAUCCAAAGUUUGAGAAAAGCAUUAAUAAUCUUUGUUGCCAGUACAUGUAUCAGCAUUGGUACUCAAAGGAGCACUUUUUCACCCAACAAUAAAUAAAUAAAAAAGCAGAACUUCAAUAUCGCUAUGCCAAUAGCGGAUGUUAAAAGACCUAUUUCAUCACCGUUCCAAAUUUCCAGAACAUACCACAUCUGGCUCAGUAUAUCUACUAGCAACCCACUGAUUUUUGCAUAUAUAAUAUUUUACAUCAAACAGGCCCAAGUGUUCUUAGACAAAAGAAACAGAUAUGUAUAAUGAUGUUAUGCAUGAGAAAGAGUGUCAAGGAGUGCACUGUAUAAUAAGUUUGAAGGUCUGACACAGUUGAUAUGUCUGAGUCCAUAAACAACAGGGUCAUCUUCUAUCUUACUAGAGAUGUUCAGAUAUAUAAAUCAGGGACACCCUUUCCUGGACUAGUAUCACAAGUGAGAUAUCUCCACCAAGACAUUACCUGAAAACAUAAUCGGUAUAUAACUCACAGACAAUAAAUCAUUGCUUCUACUCUUGCUUUCCAAGAGGCAGGAAUUUGAUCCAUAUAUUCUUUCAAGGAGCUUAUCAAUCCUCUGCUGAGACCCUCGUCUUCAAGCUUUAUCCCGGGUAGCUUCUUUACUUGAUAAUAUUGCAUUGGUACUGAUACAAUUACCUAAGCUCCAACCUGACUAUUAAUACAUAGAAGCUUUCCCCCACACCCCCCAUCCCCCGCCCUUGAUUUCUUUCUCUCGCACUUUUUUAUUUGGGGUCUUCUUCUGUGGUUAGCAUUUGAGCAAACAGGCAGAUGCUGUGUCAAUCCCAUUAGAUAGUAGUUGACCCAAUGACCAUUUAGUCCUAAAAACUCCACAUCCAUACUUGUUUCCUAGUUAAUUUCAAUAACACAUUCUGUUAUUGCCACAGUGAAGCAUAUGCAGGUUGUCUAGAUGACACAUCACCAAGUUGUGAACCUUACAUGUAAUUACUGAGACCAUACGAGGGGAAUCCUCAAUCAGAACUCUCUUUGGAUCAUAACAUUGCUAAAUCCAACUUAAAACCACCAACGAGAAAAUUACUUCCCUGAUCUUAAACAGAAUUCCAAUAAGUGAAAGGUCCCCAAGAACUGAAAUAUAUGGCAUGUGAUCAACACGACUUUAGGACGGCUAACUGAAUAAAGUAUCAAACCCAAAUUCAUGGUGUUUUCUAGCAGCGAUGCUAUGUCUCAGAUUACACCACAUCAAAAUGUAGUAGGCUAAAAUCACACACAGAAAGUGAUUCAUCAAAGGCAUUACAAAAUUCAAUCACUUGGUUAAUAAUUAAGAUCUUCCGGCUUUCUUAGCUCGAUCACUUGCCUAAUCAUAUCAAUAUAAGGAGCACUAAAAGAAUUCAAACAAAGAAAAGUGGACGAAACCAAAAGGCGAGAUCAAACAUACAUGAUCAAACAAGUAACAAGCAAGAAUUUAGGCCAAAGACCAAUACAUCACAUCAUGAUCAGAUCAAAUAAUCAGUUCAGUCUAUCAUAACCGAAACACAAAAACAACCACAACCCAUUAAAAUCGAACACAAACCCAUAAAAACCCAGAUUAAGAUAUCCACAAUCGUAAACAAGACAACGAUCAGAGCUAGAGAGAUCAAAUUGAAAANNNNNNNNNNNNNNNNNNNNNNNNNNNNNNNNNNNNNNNNNNNNNNNNNNNNNNNNNNNNNNNNNNNNNNNNNNNNNNNNNNNNNNNNNNNNNNNNNNNNNNNNNNNNNNNNNNNNNNNNNNNNNNNNNNNNNNNNNNNNNNNNNNNNNNNNNNNNNNNNNNNNNNNNNNNNNNNNNNNNNNNNNNNNNNNNNNNNNNNNNNNNNNNNNNNNNNNNNNNNNNNNNNNNNNNNNNNNNNNNNNNNNNNNNNNNNNNNNNNNNNNNNNNNNNNNNNNNNNNNNNNNNNNNNNNNNNNNNNNNNNNNNNNNNNNNNNNNNNNNNNNNNNNNNNNNNNNNNNNNAAAGAUAGUUGGAAGGAAGAAAAAAAAAAAGUGAAUUAUUGCUGCCUGUGUGUGUGGGCUUCUCUCUCUUAACUUUUGCCUUUUGAGAUUUCUGAUUCAAUGAGAGAGGAAAAAGCAGACAGCGAGUUGCAGAGAAGAAGAAGAAGAAAACAGAGAACGACGGAAGAAGAAUGAAAGAAUUAUAUGAUGACGAGGAAGAUGCAGAAGAAGAAGAAGAAGAAAUGAGGGAAGGGAAAUGAUAGGGGAGACAGAGAGAGGUUUGGGUAAUAAAGUGGUUAUAUUUAAGGCAAAGAUCCGGUGACGGUGGCACCGGCCAUGUUGGCUUUUACAACUUUUGCUAGUUUGGAUUUUCGGAUUUUGGACCUUGUAUUACAUUUUGGACCUCCUCUUGUGUUCAGCUAGAGAACGAUUAACUUUCUUUCACUGCAAGAAAUAGCCACCCCCAAAAAAAUGGUGGUGCGGCCAUUGACAC
rnacentral:lncRNA from 1 species